GAGGACGACCGCCUGUACGUGAACUAUCCAGAAGACUGAGGUCGUGGACGUGAUCGUGGACAAGCAUGCGGGAUAGCAUAGCCUUUUCUUAUGUUAUGUAGUCUCUAGCGGAACUACCUUGUCUGAAUAAAUGUGUGGAUGUAACUCUGAUAUUAUCUAUGGAGAUGGCAAACGAUUCCCUAUUUGUCAUUCUUAAACUAUGUAUGUCCUAUGUUUAUCUUGCUUGCGAAACGCUUAGAUGCGCAUCUUUCCAUUUUGGGGCCUCGUUCCCUAAAUCGGAAAGGACCGCAUCUUAGUCGUUACAAGUUGGUAAUCAGAGCCUUACGACCAUAGGAGCCUUUGUGUGAUCGUACUUGGCCGAGUUGAGUCUAGUAAAAUGUUUUGAGUCUUAGUUAUAUCGGAGAGUAGGUUUCUUUUUUCUCCUCUUCCAUGCUCUGCUGAGGUUCUCGACUUAGGAAAUCUUAAUUCUACUCCUCUUCUCGCUCAAUUUUUUUUAGGAUCACUCGGGUAUUUUGAAAUCUAUAUGAUAUCGAUGUGACGGAGUUCUGUCUUGGUGCUUCCUGUCUGCCUUGAUUUCUUCCGGGGAGUUGAGCUCCACGGGACUCUUGUGCACAUCGCCAUCAUUCAGAUUUCUGAGUAUUUCAGAACGAAGGAUGUUCUUAAUUGCUUCAAUACUAGUAGUGGCGAGAUAACCCCGAUGUCCCCGGUACUAGUGCAGAUUGUUCGGGAGUACUACCAUACUUUGUAUCAUUGUGAUCACGAGGGUCUGUGUUAGAUGAAGGUCCAAGAUUUAGGUUAUGUGUUGACGGAUGUGAUACAUUGGAUGGGUUAGUAUAGGAGUUGUGUGAAUAUUACUCCUUGUAUCCAUGUACCAGAUUGCAUGACCAGAUAUUUCGGGAAUUCAUAGGUGGGAUAUCAAGUAAUGACUUAUAGGACAAUGUUCCUACAGAUGCAUGAUGUGAGGUUGGGAUUCGACAUUCAGUGGGUACGUUUGUUCAUGGCUGUUUUACAGCGGUUCUCGUUGUUGGGGAACGUCGCAUGGGAAACAAAAAAAUUCCUACGCGCACGAAGACCUAUCAUGGUGAUGACCAUCUACGAGAGGNNNNNNNNNNNNNNNNNNNNNNNNNNNNNNNNNNNNNNNNNNNNNNNNNNNNNNNNNNNNNNNNNNNNNNNNNNNNNNNNNNNNNNNNNNNNNNNNNNNNAUGUCAAACAUCGUGAAUUGCUCAAGGAUCAUUGUAUCUAUCCUUAAUAUGUUAUAGUUCAUCACGAAGCUCUCACAGCUUGGUGGCAGUGACUUUGGAGAACCAUCACUAUCUCAUCUUCAAGAUUAACUCCCACUUGAUUCAAGCGAUUGUCGUACUCAGAUAAUCUGAGCACACGCUCAACGAUUGAGCUUUUCUCCCUUACUUUGUGGACAAAGAAUCUUGUCAGAGGUCUCGUACCUCUUAACAAGGGCACAAGCAUGAAAUCACAAUUUCAUCUCUUUAGAACAUCUCUUAUGUUCCGUGACGUUUGAAAACGUCUUCGGCGCCUUGCUUCUAAGCCAUUAAGUAUUUUUUUUACUGAACUAUCGUGUAGUCAUCAGAAACGUGUAUGUCGGAUGUUCACAGCAUCCACAGACGACGCUCGAGGUGCAGCACACCGAGUNNNNNNNNNNACUUAUGUUCCGUGACAUUUCAAAACGUCUUCGGCGCCUUGCUUCUAAGCCAUUAAGUAUUUUUGCACUGAACUAUCGUGUAGUCAUCAGAAACGUGUAUGUCAGAUGUUCACAGCAUCCACAGACGACGCUCGAGGUGCAGCACACCGAGUGGUGCAUUAAGGACAUAAGCCUUCUGUGCAGCAACGAGGACAAUCCUCGGUUUUAUAGACUCAGUCUGCAAAGUUUGCUACUAUCAACUUUCAACUAAAUUUUCUCUAGGAANNNNNNNNNNNNNNNNNNNNNNNNNNNNNNNNNNNNNNNNNNNNNNNNNNNNNNNNNNNNNNNNNNNNNNNNNNNNNNNNNNNNNNNNNNNNNNNNNNNNUCAUUUGAGUGGUACAUGAUCCAAAUCCACUAUCUCAAGUCCGAUCAUCACGUGAGUCGAGAAUAGUUUUAGUGGUAAGCAUCUCUAUGCUAAUCAUAUCAACUAUACGAUUCAUGCUCGACCUUUCGGUCUCAUAUAUUCCGAGGCCAUGUCUGCACAUGCUAAGCUCGUCAAGCUUAACCCGAGUGUUCCGCGUGUGCAACUGUUUUGCACCCGUUGUAUGUGAACGUUGAGUCUAUCACACCCGAUCAUCACGUGGUGUCUCGAAAUGAAGAACUGUCGCAACGGUGCACAGUCGGGGAGAACACAAUUUCGUCUUGAAAUUUUAGUGAGAGAUCACCUCAUAAUGCUACCGUCGUUCUAAUCAAGAUAAGGUGCGUAAAGGAUUAACAUCACAUGCAAUUCAUAAGUGACAUGAUAUGGCCAUCAUCAUGCGCUUCUUGAUCUCCAUCACUAAAGCACCGGCACGAUCUUCUUGUCACCGGUGUCACACCAUGAUCUCCAUCAACGUGCGCCAUCGGGGUUGUCGUGCUACUCAUGCUAUUACUACUAAAGCUACANNNNNNNNNNNNNNNNNNNNNNNNUCGGCGUCACACCAUGAUCUCCAUCAAUGUGUCGCCAUCGGGGUUGUCGUGCUACUCAUGCUAUUACUACUAAAGCUACANNNNNNNNNNAAUCUCCAUCGACGUGUUGCCAUCGGGGUUGUUGUGCUACUCAUGCUAUUACUACUAAAGCUACAUCCUAGCAAAAUAGUANNNNNNNNNNGAUCAUCCAUCAACGUGUUGCCAUCGGGGUUGUCGUGCUACUUAUGCUAUUACUACUAAAGCUACAUCCUAGCAAAAUAGUAAACGCAUAUGCAAGCACAAACGUUAGUAUAAAGACAACCCUAUGGCUCCUGCCGGUUGCCGUACCAUCGACAUGCAAGUCGAUAUUUAUAUUACAACAUGAUCAUCUCAUACAUCCAAUAUAUCACAUCACAUCGUUGGCCAUAUCACAUCACAAGCAUACCCUGCAAAAACAAGUUAGACGUCCUCUAAUUAUGUUGUUGCAUGUUUUACGUGGUGACCAUGGGUAUCUAGUAGGAUCGCAUCUUACUUACGCAAACACCACAACGGAGAUAUAUGAGUUGCUAUUUAACCUCAUCCAAGGACCUCCUCGGUCAAAUCCGAUUCAACUAAAGUUGGAGAAACCGUCACGUGCCAGUCAUCUUUGAGCAAAGGGGGUUACUCGUAACGAUGAAACCAGUCUCUCGUAAGCGUACGAGUAAUGUNNNNNNNNNNACACUUGCCAGUCAUCUUUGAGAAACGGAGUUACUCGUAACGAUGAAACCAGUCUCUCGUAAGCGUACGAGUAAUGUCGGUCCAAGCCACUUCAAUCCAACAAUACCGCGGUAUCAAGAAAAGACUAAGGAGGGCAGCAAAGCGCACAUCACCGCCCACAAAACCUUUUCUGUUCUACUCGAGAAGACAUCUAUGCAUGAACCUAGCUCAUGAUGCCACUGUUGGGUAACGUCGCAUGGGAAACAAAAAUUUUCCUACGCGCACGAAGACCUAUCNNNNNNNNNNNNNNNNNNNNNNNNNNNNNNNNNNNNNNNNNNNNNNNNNNNNNNNNNNNNNNNNNNNNNNNNNNNNNNNNNNNNNNNNNNNNNNNNNNNNUAUUUGAGUUAUAUGGUUGGUUACCGAAUGUUGUUCGGAGUCCCGGAUGAGAUCACGGACGUCACGAGGGUUUCCGGAAUGGUCCGGAAACGAAGGUUGAUAUAUAGGAGGGCCUCAUUUGAUAACCGGAAGGUUUUCGGAGUUACCGGGAAUGACGAAUGGGUUCCGGGAGUUCACCCGGGGGGGCAACCCACCCCAGGGAAGCCCAUAGGCCUUAAGGGUGGUGCACCAGCCCUUAGUGGGCUGGUGGGGCAGUCCAAAAGGGCCCUAUGCGCCUAGGAAAUAAAAUCAAAGAGAAAGAAAAAAAAGGAGGUGGGAAGGGAAGGAAGGACUCCCACCCACCAAACCAAGUCCANNNNNNNNNNGGGGGGGGCAACCCACCCCGGGGAAGCCCAUAGGCCUUAAGGGUGGCGCACCAGCCCUUAGUGGGCUGGUGGGGCAGCCCAAAAGGGCCCUAUGCACCUAGGAAAGAAAAUCAAAGAGAAAGAAAAAAAGGAGGAGGUGGGAAGGGAAGGAAGGACUCCCACCCACCAAACCAAGUCCAACUCGGUUUGGGGGGNNNNNNNNNNNNNNNNNNNNNNNNNNNNNNNNNNNNNNNNNNNNNNNNNNNNNNNNNNNNNNNNNNNNNNNNNNNNNNNNNNNNNNNNNNNNNNNNNNNNAGGUAAGCGGUAGUACCGCUGGCACAACAGUAGUAAAUUUUUACUACCGCUCCAGGAGCGGUACUACCGCCCCAGGUGCGGUAGUAAUUUUUUACUGCCGCUCCAGGAGCGGUACUACCGCCCUAGGUGCGGUAGUAAUUUUUUACUGCCACUCCAGGAGCGGUACUACCGCCCUAGGUGCGGUAGUAAUUUUUUACUACCGCUCCAAGGGCGGUACUACCGCNNNNNNNNNNUAGUGCGGUAGUAUUAUUUUACUACCACUCUGAUGGGCUUUUUCACAUACUUUUCCCCACGGAGGUGUUGGCACGGUAGUAUGCCGGUACUACCAUGGUUGGUGAGAAGCUGAGUGGUAGUACCGCUCUCAGGUGCGGUAGUACCGCUCUAGGUAGCGGUAGUACCGCUUGUAUUUUUAUCUGGUAGGUGGGUAACAGGUGGAUCUGCCCCCCUACUAUAUAAAGGUAUCGUCUUCUUCCUAGAGCUCACCUUUAACCUCUCUAAGCUCCAUUGUUGCUCCACAAGCUCAUUUUCGCCCGAUCUCUCUCCCUAGCCAAUCAAACUUGUUGAUUUUCUAGGGAUUGCUUGAGAAGGCCUUGAUCUACACUUCCACCAAAGGAUAUUUGAUUACCCCUACUAAUCCCUUGCGGAUCUUGUUACUCUUGGGUGUUUGAGCAUCCUAGACGGUUGAGGUCACCUCGGAGCCACAUUCCAUUGCGGUGAAGCUCCAUGGUCUUGUUGGGAGCCUCCAAGAAUUGUGUGGAGAUUGCCCCAACCUUGUUUGUAAAGGUUCGGUCGCCACNNNNNNNNNNNNNNNNNNNNNNNNNNNNNNNNNNNNNNNNNNNNNNNNNNNNNNNNNNNNNNNNNNNNNNNNNNNNNNNNNNNNNNNNNNNNNNNNNNNNUCGGUAUGUUACUUGCCCGAGAUUCGAUCGUCAGUAUCCGCAUACCUAUUUCAAUCUCAUUUAUCGGCAAGUCUCUUUACUUGUUCCGUAAUACAAGAUCCCGCAACUUACACUAAGUCACAUUGCUUGCAAGGCUUAUGUGUGAUGUUGUAUUACCGAGUGGGCCCCGAGAUACCUCUCCGUCAUACGGAGUGACAAAUCCUAGUCUCGAUCGAUACUAACUCAACGAACACCUUCGGAGAUACCUGUAGAGCAUCUUUAUAGUCACCCAGUUACGUUGCGACGUUUGGUACACACAAAGCAUUCCUCCGGUGUUAGUGAGUUAUAUGAUCUCAUGGUCAUAGGAACAAAUACUUGACACGCAGAAAAGAGUAGCAACAAAAUGACACGAUCAACAUGCUACGUCUCAUCACAUGAUUCUCCUAAUGAUGUGAUCCCGUUGUCAAGUAACAACACUUGCCUAUGGCCAGGAAACCUUGACCAUCUUUGAUCAACGAUCUAGUCAACUAGAGGCUUACUAGGGACAGUGUUUUGUCUAUGUAUCCACACAAGUAUUGUGUUCCAAUCAAUAAAAUUAUAGCAUGGAUAAUAAACAAUUAUCAUGAACAAAGAAAUAUAAUAAUAACUAAUUUUUUAUUGCCUCUAGGGCAUAUUUCCAACAGUCUCCCACUUGCACUAGAGNNNNNNNNNNGUCUCCCACUUGAACUAGAGUCAAUAAUCUAGUUCACAUCACCAUGUGAUUCCAACGAAUCCAACACCCAUAUAGUUAUGGGGUCUGAUCACGUCUUGCUCAUGAGAGAGGUUUUAGUCAACGGUUCUGUAAUUUUCAGAUCCGUGUGUUCUUUACAAAUCUUUAUGUCAUCUUAUAGAUGCUGCUACUAUGUGCUAUUCGGAAAUACUCNNNNNNNNNNNNNNNNNNNNNNNNNNNNNNNNNNNNNNNNNNNNNNNNNNNNNNNNNNNNNNNNNNNNNNNNNNNNNNNNNNNNNNNNNNNNNNNNNNNNUAACACCUUCGGAGAUACCUGUAGAGCAUCUUUAUAGUCACCCAGUUAUGUUGCGACGUUUGAUACACACAAAGCAUUCCUCUGGUGUCAGUGAGUUAUAUGAUCUCAUGGUCAUAGGAAGAAAUACUUGACACGCAGAAAACAGUACCAACAAAAUGACACGAUCAACAUGCUACGUCUAUUAGUUUGGGUCUAGUCCAUCACAUGAUUCUCCUAAUGAUGUGAUCCCGUUAUCAACUGACAACACUUGCCUAUGGCCAGGAAACCUUGGCCAUCUUUGAUCAACGAGCUAGUCAACUAGAGGCUUACUAGGGACAGUGUUUUGUCUAUGUAUCCACACAAGUAUUGUGUUCCAAUCAAUACAAUUAUAGCAUGGAUAAUAAACAAUUAUCAUGGACAAAGAAAUAUAAUAAUAACUAAUUUAUUAUUGCCUCUAGGGCAUAUUUCCAACACAAAGGUCUAUCCAAAAUUGUCGAGGGAAAAUCAUGGUUGAUGAAAAAUGACUUUGACAUAAAGCAAUGCGAAGCACCAGAAUCAAACAAGACUUUAGCAGGAAAAUCAUUGACUGAAAGGUUACCCAUAAUCACAUCUGAGGAGUUGUCUGCUUGAGCUGUGUUCACCAUAUUGACUCUAGCAGGCCUGGGGUUGAACUUCACGAUAGCAUUGCUUGGAGGUUUGCCUGGAGGAGGAGGCGGAAGACGCAGCUCAGAAGUGCACUUGUUGGCAUAGUGACCCUUCUGCCCACACUUGUGACAAGUAACAUCUACCGGAUGACGGUACUGUGUCUGAGGAGGCCCUUGCUUCUGCUGCUAAAACCUCUGCUGGAAAGCUGGGUUGGGUGGGUGGGAAGAACCACGGACACCUGAAUGCUUGAACUGCUGCGUGUGCCGAGGAGGAGGAGGAGACACCCAAUACUUGUGUUGCUUCUGAACCACCUGAGUUGAGGAAGACGAGCUGGAAUCUCUGAAGCGCUUCUUUGAAUUCUCCACCCUGAGCAAUGCUUCCUCAGCCCCGAGAGUCAAGUUGUAGAACUUAUUGAACUCCUCCGGAUCGUGCAAAGCGAGAGCUAGCUGCAAAUCCUCUUACAAACCACCUCUGAACUGAUAAAUCUUGCUCUUCUGAUCCGGAAUAUACUGCAAGGCAUAUCGGGCUAGCUCGUGGAACUCGACGUUGUACUUGUACACGCAGUUACCACCUUGCUUCAAGCGCCUGAACUUCUAACGCAUCUCCUCCACAAAGCUAGACGAGAUGUAGUGGGACCUGAAGUCUUUGCAGAACUCAUCCCAAGUGAUCACUCUAGCACCCCUGGAAUCCUUCAAUUGCUGCCACAAGAUCGAUGCUUGCCCCUUCAGCUGGAAUGUUGCAAACUUGACGAAAUCCUCUGGACGGACAUUGCUACACUCAAAGUGCUUGUUCAUGUCGCGAAUCCAAUCCUCAGCAUGAAACGGCUGGUCACACGAAGUGAAGGUCUUCGUCUGAUUUGACAGGAACUAACUCAUAUUAGCAAACUGAUUGCCACCAUGAUUGAAGUUGCCUUGCUAUUGAUUAGUCCUCUCAUGCAACAACUGUAUCAGCAUCUGAGUGCUUGCAUUUGUAGCAGCCAUCACCGCUUGCCAAGCCUCUGCAGGAGGAGGCGGCGACGGAGGAGGAUUUUCUGGAGGAGGGGGUGGUGGUGGCAUGUCACACCCUCACGACCUGGAUUCUGACGAGUUGGUGGAGCCAUCUUGAAGACGGACAACACAUUAGCCCACAAAAUAAUUGAAGGUAUAGCUGAAUCAAAAAGGCAGGAAUAUCUGAACAGGAAUAUAGCAAUUGCACUCGAACAAAAUAGUAAGAAUGCUUCCUCAAAGUGACUGUCGACAAAAUUCUAAUUAAGACCACUUGUAAACAAGUAUGAGCUAGAACUGCUCGGAACAGACAUAUGAUCGAGAUUUCAUCCGAUAUCUUCAUGGAUAAGAUCGCACGGGCUCGAAUUUACAGUAGCCAUCCUGUGCAAGGUAGUGUACACGACUUACGAAGUAUCCCCGAGUCGUAGAAAGCUACAAGGACUCUUUAAGACACAACGAGUGUUGGAAUUAUGCCCUAGAGGCAAUAAUAAAUAUAGUUAUUAUUAUANNNNNNNNNNNNNNNNNNNNNNNNNNNNNNNNNNNNNNNNNNNNNNNNNNNNNNNNNNNNNNNNNNNNNNNNNNNNNNNNNNNNNNNNNNNNNNNNNNNNAAGGUUCGACGUUGUUUUAUGCGUAUUUGAGUUAUAUGGUUGGUUACCAAAUGUUGUUCGGAGUUCCGGAUGAGAUCACGGACGUCACGAGGGUUUUCGGAAUGGUCCAGAAACGAAGAUUGAUAUAUAGGAUGACCUCAUUUGAAUGACGAAUGGGUUCCGNNNNNNNNNNUGUAUUUGAGUUAUAUGGUUGGUUACCGAAUGUUGUUCGGAGUUCCGUAUGAGAUCACGGACGUCACGAGGGUUUCCGGAAUGGUCCGGAAAUGAAGAUUGAUAUAUAGGAUGACCUCAUUUGAAUGACGAAUGGGUUCCGGGAGUUCACCGGGGGGGGCAACCCACCCUCGGGAAGCCCAUAGGCCUUGAGGGUGGCACACCAGCCCUUAGUGGGCUGGUGUGACAGCCCAAGAGGGCCCUAUGUGCCUAGAGAAGAAAAUCAAGGAGAAAAGAAAAAAAAAAGGAGGUGGGAAGGGAAGGAAGGACUCCCUCCCACCAAACCAAGUCCAAGUCGGUUUGAGGGGGGGAACCUUCCCCCUUGGACUCGGCCGACCCCCUUGGGGCUCCUUGAGCCCAAAGGCAAGGUCCCCUCCCUCCCACCUAUAUAUACGGAGGUUUUAGGGCUGAUUUGAGAAGACUUUUCCACGGCAGCCCGACCACAUACCUCCACGGUUUUUCCUCUAGAUCGCGUUUCUGCAGAGCUCGGGCGGAGCCCUGCUGAGACAAGGUCAUCACCAACCUCCGGAGCGCCGUCACGCUGCCGGAGAACUCUUCUACCUCUCCGACUCUCUUGUUGGAUCAAGAAGGCCGAGAUCAUCGUCGAGCUGUACGUGUGUUGAACGUGGAGGUGCCGUCCGUUCGGUACUAGAUCGUGGGACUGAUCGCGGGAUAGUUCGCGGGGCGGAUCGAGGGACGUGAGGACAUUCCACUACAUCAACCGCGUUUACUAACGCUUCUGCUGUAUGAUCUACAAGGGUACGUAGAUCACUCAUCCCCUCUCGUAGAUGGACAUCACCAUGAUAGGUCUUCGUGCGCGUAGGAAAAUUAUUGUUUCCCAUGCGACGUUACCCAACACAUUGGACCACACACAUCAGUAUGUAUUAUUUCCAAUAAGUCGGUUGCUCUCUCCAUUAUUUGUGAGAAUGGAGUCUUAGUCAUCUUGCCCAUGAGGCACGGUUCGCAUCUGUCAAAUGAUUCAAAGUCAAGAGACUCUAAUAGUCCAUUAGUAUGGAGCUUCUUCAUGCGCUUAACGCCAAUAUGACCAAGGCGGUAGUGCCACAAGUAUGUGGGACUAUCAUUAUCAACUUUACAUCUUUUGGUACUCACACUAUGAAUAUGCGUAACAUCACGAUCGAGAUUCAUCAAGAAUAAACCAUUCACCAGCAGAGCAUGACCAUAAAACAUAUCACUCAUAUAAAUAGAACAACCAUUAUUCUCUGACUUCAAUGAGUAGCCGUCUCGCAUUAAGCAAGACCCUGAUACAAUGUUCAUGCUUAAAUCUGGUACUAAAUAACAAUUAUUAAGGUUUAAAACUAAUUCGACGGUAGAUGUAGAGGUAACGUGCCGAUGGUGAUCACAUCGACCUUGGAGCCAUUCCCGACGCGCAUCGUCAUCUCGUCCUUUGCCAGUCUCCGCUUAUUCAGCAGUUCCUGCUUUGAGUUGAAAAUGUGAGCAACAACACCGGUAUCAAAUAUCCAGGAGCUACUACGAGCGCUGGCAAGGUACACAUCAAUAACAUGUAUAUCACAUAUACCUUUAAUGUUGCCGGCCUUCUUGUCCGCUAAGUAUUUGGGGCAGUUCCGCUUGCAGUGACCCUUUCCCUUGCAACAGAAGCUCUCNNNNNNNNNNNNNNNNNNNNNNNNNNNNNNNNNNNNNNNNNNNNNNNNNNNNNNNNNNNNNNNNNNNNNNNNNNNNNNNNNNNNNNNNNNNNNNNNNNNNUUGCUACAGUUCGUCGUUUCGAGACACCACGUGAUGAUCGGGUGUGAUAGACUCAAUGUUCACAUACAACGGGUGCAAAACAGUUGCGCACGCAGAACACUCGGAUUAAGCUUGACGAGCCUAGCAUGUGCAGACAUGGCCUCGGAACACAUGAGACCGAAAGGUCGAUCAUGAAUCAUAUAGAUGAUAUGAUUAGCAUAGGGAUGCUUACCACUGAAACUAUACUCAACUCACGUGAUGAUCGGACUUGAGCUAGUGUAAGUGGAUCAUGAACCACUCAAAUGAAAAGAGAGAUGUACUUUUUGAGUGGGAGUUUAGCGAAUAAUUUGAUUAAGUUAAACUCUAAUUAUCUUGAACAUAGUCUAAGUCCACUUUGAAUAUAUUUGUGUUGUAGAUCAUGGCUCACGCGACAGUCACCCUGAAUUUUAAUAUGUUCCUAGAGAAAGCUAAGUUGAAAGAUGAUGGAAGCAACUUUGUAGACUGGGCUCGUAAUCUUAAGCUAAUCUUACAAGUUGGGAAGAAGGAUUAUGUCCUUAAUGCUGCGCUAGGAGAUGAACCACCCGCUACGGCUGAUCAGGAUGUUAAGAACGCUUGGUUAGCACGUAAGGAGAACUACUCAAUAGUUCAAUGUGCAGUCUUGUAUGGCUUAGAACCGGGACUUCAACGUCGCUUUGAGCGUCAUGGAGCAUUUGAGAUGUUCCAGGAGUUGAAGUUUAUCUUUCAGAAGAACGCCCGGAUCGAGAGGUAUGAGACCUCCGAUAAAUUCUAUGCUUGCAAGAUGGAGGAAAACUCGUCUGUCAGUGAACAUGUGCUCAAAAUGUCUGGGUACCCAAACCGUCUAGCUGAGCUGGGGAUUGAACUCCCGCAAGAGGCUAUCACUGACAGAAUCCUUGAAUCACUGCCGCCAAGCUAUAAAGGCUUUGUGUUGAACUACAACAUGCNNNNNNNNNNGAACUCGUCUGUCAGUGAACAUGUGCUCAAAAUGUCUGGGUACUCAAACCGUCUAGCUGAGCUGGGGAUUGAACUCCCGAAGAGGCUAUCACUGACAAAAUCCUUCAAUCACUGCCGCCAAGCUAUAAAGGCUUUGUGUUGAACUACAACAUGCNNNNNNNNNNACCCGGCGAGUUGUUUGCGAUGCUGAAAGUCGCAGAGUCUGAACUCCAUAAAGAACAUCAAGUGUUGAUGGUGAAUAAGACCACUAGUUUCAAGAGAAACGGCNNNNNNNNNNUCCCGGCGAGUUGUUUGCGAUGCUGAAAGUCGCAGAGUCUGAACUCCGUAAAGAGCAUCAAGUGUUGAUGGUGAAUAAGACCACUAGUUUCAAGAGAAACGGCAAAGGCAAGAAGGAUAAUUCAAAGAAGAGCAGCAAGCCUGUUGCCAAUCCGACGAAGAAACCCAAAGCUGGACCUAAGCCUGAAACGGAGUGUUACUAUUGCAAGGGUAUGGGUCACUGGAAGCGCAAUUGCCCCAAGUAUCUGGCAGAUAAGAAGGCGGCCAAAGAAAAAUCAGGUAUAUUUGAUAUACAUGUUAUUUAUGUGUACUUAANNNNNNNNNNNNNNNNNNNNNNNNNNNNNNNNNNNNNNNNNNNNNNNNNNNNNNNNNNNNNNNNNNNNNNNNNNNNNNNNNNNNNNNNNNNNNNNNNNNNGUCUCUCGUAAGCGUACGAGUAAUGUCGGUCCAAGCCGCUUCAAUCCAACAAUACCGCGGAAUCAAGAAAAGACUAAGGAGGGCAGAAAAACGCACAUCACCGCCCACAAAAACUUUUGUGUUCUACUCGAGAAGACAUCUACGCAUGAACCUAGCUCAUGAUGCCACUGUUAGGGAACGUCGCAUGGGAAAAAAAAUUCCUACGCGCAUGAAGACCUAUCAUGGUGAUGUCCAUCUACGAGAUGGGAUGCGUGAUCUACGUACCCUUGUAGACCAUACAGCAGAAGCGUUAGUGAACGCGGUUGAUGUAGUGGAACGUCCUCACGUCCCUUGAUCCGCCCCGCGAUCGUCCCGCGAUCAGUCCCACGAUCUAGUGCCGAACGGACGGCACCUCCGCGUUCAGCACACAUACAGCUCGACAAUGAUCUCGGCCUUCUUGAUCCAGCAAGAGAGACAGAGAGGUAGAUGAGUUCUCCGGCAGUGUGACGGCGCUCCGGAGGUUGGUGGUGAUCUUAUCUCAGCAGGGCUCCGCCCGAACNNNNNNNNNNAAUGAUCUCGGCCUUCUUGAUCCAGCAAGAGAUACGGAGAGGUAGAUGAGUUCUCCGGCAGUGUGACGGUGCUCCGGAGGUUGGUGGUGAUCUUAUCUCAGCAGGGCUCCGCCCGAACUCCGCAGAAACGUGAUCUAGAGGUAAAACCGUGUAGAAUGUGGUCGGGCUGCCGUGGCGAAGUUGUCUCAAAUCAGCCCUAAUACCUCAGUAUAUAUAGGAGGGAGGGAGGGGAGGAGGCAGCCUCAAACCCUCAAGGUUUGGCCGAAAUUUGAGGUGGAGGAGUCCUACUCCAAUCCUACUUGGAGUAGGAUUCCACCUUCCCACUUGGAAACUCUUUCCACCUUGUGUUUUUCCCUUCUCAAACCUUAUGGGCCUUAGUGGGAACUUAUUCCAGCCCACUAGGCGCUAGUUUAUCUCUUCCCAUAGCCCAUUAGACCCCUUGGGGCGUGACACCCCUCUCGAUGGUCCCCGUCACCCCUCCCGGCACUCCCGGUACACUACCGAUGAGCCCGAAACUUCUCCGGUAAUGCCCGGAAACUUUCCGGUAACCAAAUGAGGUCAUCCUAUAUAUCAAUAUUCGUCUCCGGACCAUUCCAAAAACCCUCGUGACGUCCGUGAUCCCAUCCGGGACUCCGAACAACAUUCGGUAACCAACCAUAUAACUCAAAUACGCAUAAAUCAUCGUCGAACCUUAAGUGUGCAGACCCCGCGGGUUCGAGAACUAUGUACACAUGACCCGAGUGACUCCUCGUUCAAUAUCCAAUAGCGGGACCUGGAUGCCCAUAUUGGAUCCUACAUAUNNNNNNNNNNUCGUCGAACCUUAAGUGUGCAGACCCGCGGGUUCGAGAACUAUGUAGACAUGACCCGAGUGACUCCUCGGUCAAUAUCCAAUAGCGGGACCUGGAUGCCCAUAUUGGAUCCUACAUAUUCUACGAAGAUCUUAUCGUUUGAACCUCAGUGCCAAGGAUUCAUAUAAUCCCGUAUGUCAUUCCCUUUGUCCUUCGGUAUGUUACUUGCCCGAGAUUCGAUCGUCAGUAUCCGCAUACCUAUUUCAAUCUCAUUUAUCGGCAAGUCUCUUUACUCGUUCUGUAAUACAAGAUACCGCAACUUACACUAAGUCACAUUGCUUGCAAGGCUUGUGUGUGAUGUNNNNNNNNNNNNNNNNNNNNNNNNNNNNNNNNNNNNNNNNNNNNNNNNNNNNNNNNNNNNNNNNNNNNNNNNNNNNNNNNNNNNNNNNNNNNNNNNNNNNCAAGCAAUUUCAGAGUGAAGUUGAAAAUCAUCGUAACAAGAAGAUCAAAUUCCUACGGUCUGAUCGUGGGGGUGAAUAUCUGAGUUUCGAGUUUGGUGCUCACUUAAGACAAUGUGGAAUUGUUUCACAGUUAACACCGCCUGGAACACCACAUCGUAAUGGUGUGUCCGAACGUCGUAAUCGUACUUUAUUAGAGAUGGUGCGAUCUAUGAUGUCUCUUACCGAUUUGCCGUUAUCGUUUUGGGUUAUGCAUUAGAAACAGCUACAUUCACUUUCAAUAGGGCACCAUCAAAAUCCGUUGAGACAACACCAUACGAACUGUGGUAUGGCAAAAGGCCAAAGUUGUCGUUUCUUAAAGUUUGGGGAUGUGAUGCUUAUGUCAAAAAGCUUCAGCCUGAAAAGCUGGAACCCAAAGCGGAAAAGUGUGUCUUCAUAGGUUACCCAAAAGAGACAUUUGGGUACACCUUCUAUCUCAAAUCCGAGGGCAAAGUGUUUGUUGCUAAAAAUGGAGCUUUUCUCUAGAAGGAGUUUCUCUCGAGAGAAUUGAGUGGGAGGAAGAUAGAACUUGACGAGGUUGUCGAACCUCUCAUCCCUCUGGAUGGUGGCGCAGGGCAAGGGGAAACCUCUAUCGUUGCGAUGCCGGUUGAGGAGGAAGUUAAUGAUGAUGAUCAUGAAACUCCGGUUCANNNNNNNNNNACAGGUCAAGGGGAAACCUCUGUCGUUGCAACGCCGGUUGAGGAGGAAGUUAAUGAUGAUGAUCAUGAAACUCCGGUUCAAGUUUCUGUCGAACCACGCAGGUCGACGAGAACACGUGCUGCUCCAGAGUGGUACGGUAAUCCCGUCUUAUCAAUCAUGUUGUUAGACAACAAUGAACCUGCAAAUUAUGAAGAAGCAAUGGUGGGCCCAGAUUCCAACAAAUGGCUAGAAGCCAUGAAGUCCGAGAUAGGAUCCAUGUAUGAGAACAAAGUGUGGACUUUGGAGGUACNNNNNNNNNNCCACGUGCUGCUCCAGAGUGGUACGGUAAUCCCGUCUUGUCAAUCAUGUUGUUGUACAACAAUGAACCUGCAAAUUAUGAAGAAACAAUGGUGGGCCUAGAUUCCAACAAAUGGCUAGAAGCCAUGAAGCCGAGAUAGGAUCCAUGUAUGAGAACAAAGUGUGGACUUUGGAGGUACUGCCUAAAGGCCGCAAGGCUAUUCAGAACAAAUGGAUCUUUAAGAGGAAGACGGACGCUGACGGCAAUGUGACCGUUUAUAAAGCUCGACNNNNNNNNNNACCUGAGGGCCGCAAGGCUAUUCAGAACAAAUGGAUCUUUCAGAGGAAGACGGACGCUGACGGCAAUGUGACCGUUUAUAAAGCUCGACUUGUGGCAAAGGGUUUUUCACAAGUUCAAGGAGUUGACUACGAUGAGACAUUCUCACCCGUAGCGAUGCUUAAGUCCGUCAGAAUCAUGUUAGCAAUAGCUGCAUUUUUCGAUUAUGAAAUCUGGCAGAUGGAUGUCAAAACGGCGUUCCUUAACGGUUUCCUUAAGGAAGAGUUGUAUAUGAUACAACCCGAAGGUUUUGUCGAUCCUAAGAAUGCUAACAAGGUGUGCAAGCUCCAGCGAUCCAUUUAUGGACUGGUGCAAGCAUCUCGGAGUUGGAACAAAUGCUUUGAUGAGGUGAUCAAAGCAUUUGGGUUUAUACAAGUGGUUGGAGAANNNNNNNNNNGUCUUGGAGUUGGAACAAACGUUUUGAUGAGGUGAUCAAAGCAUUUGGGUUUAUACAAGUGGUUGGAGAAUCUUGUAUUUACAAGAAAGUGAGUGGGAGCUCUGUGGCGUUUCUAAUAUUAUAUCUGGAUGACAUAUUGCUGAUUGGAAACAACAUAGAGUUUUUGGAGAGCAUAAAGGAUUACUUGAAUAAAAGUUUCUCUAUGAAGGACCUAGGAGAAGUUGCUUACAUUCUAGGCAUUAAGAUCUAUAGGGAUAGAUCAAAACGCCUGAUAGGACUUUCACAAAGCACAUACCUUGAUAAAGUUUUGAAGAGGUUCAAAAUGGAACAGUCCAAGAAAGGGUUCUUGCCAGUUUUACAAGGUACGAAAUUGAGUAAGACUCGGUGCCCAGCAACUGAUGAAGAUAGAGAGCAUAUGCGCUCCGUCCCCUAUGCUUCAGCCAUAGGUUCUAUCAUGUAUGCAAUGUUGUGCACUAGACCGGAUGUUAGCCUGGCCAUAAGUAUGGCGGGUAGGUUCCAGAGUAAUCCAGGAGUGGAUCACUGGACAACGGUCAAGAAUAUCCUGAAGUACCUGAAAAGGACUAAGNNNNNNNNNNNNNNNNNNNNNNNNNNCCAGGAGUGGAUCACUGGACGGCGGUCAAGAAUAUCCUGAAGUACCUGAAAAGGACUAAGGAGAUGUUUCUCGUAUAUGGAGGUGACGAAGAGCUCGCCGUAAAAGCUUACGUCGAUGCAAGCUUUGACACAGAUCCGGACAACUCUAAGUUGCAAACCGGAUACGUAUUUAUUCUUAAUGGGGGUGCGGUAAGUUGGUGCAGUUCCAACCAAAGGGUCGUAGCAGAUUCUACAUGUGAAGCAGAGUACAUGGCUGCCUCGGAGGCGGCAAAGGAGGGUGUCUGGAUGAAGCAAUUCAUGACGGAUCUUGGAGUGGUGCCAAGCGCACUGAAUCCAAUAACCUUGUUCUGUGACAACACGGGUGCCAUUGCCUUAGCAAAGGAACCACGGUUUCACAAGAAUACCAGACACACCAAACGACGCUUCAACCUCAUCCGCGACUACGUCGAGGGAGAGGACGUAAAUAUAUGCAAAGUGCACACGGAUCUGAAUGUAGCAGACCCGCUGACUAAACCUCUUCCACGGCCAAAGCAUGAUCAACACCAGAACUGUAUGGGUGUUAGAUUUAUUACAAUUUAAUUCACAUGAUGAUGUGAGGGCUAGAUUAUUGGCUCUAGUGCAAGUGGGAGACUGUUGGAAUUAUGCCCUAGAGGCAAUAAUACAUAUAGUUAUUAUUAUAAUUCUUGUAUCAAGAUAAUCGUUUAUUAUCCAUGCUAUAAUUGUAUUGAAUGANNNNNNNNNNNNNNNNNNNNNNNNNNNNNNNNNNNNNNNNNNNNNNNNNNNNNNNNNNNNNNNNNNNNNNNNNNNNNNNNNNNNNNNNNNNNNNNNNNNNAUAUUGACCGAGGAGUCACUCGGGUCAUGGCUACAUAGUUCUCAAACCCGCAGGGUCUGCACACUUAAGGUUCGACGUUGUUUUAUGCGUAUUUGAGUUAUAUGGUUGGUUACCGAAUGUUGUUCGGAAUCCCGGAUGAGAACACGAACGUCACGAGGGUUUCCGGAAUGGUCCGGGAACAAAGAUUGAUAUAUAGGAUGACCUCAUUUGAUUAUCGGAAGGUUUUCGGAGUUACCGGGAAUGACGAAUGGGUUCCGGGUGUUCAUCGGGGGGGGGGGGCAACCCACCCCGGGGAAGCCCAUAGGCCUUGGGGGUGGCGCACCAGCCCUUGGUGGGCUUGUGGGACAGCCCAAGAAGGCCCUAUGCGCCAAGGAUAGAAAAUCAAAGAGAAAAGAAAAAAAAGAGGUGGGAAAGGAGAGAAGGACUCCACUUUCCAAUCCUAGUUGGACUAGGAUUGGAGGAGGACUCCUCCUCCCUUGGUGGCGCAGCCCUUGGGGCUCCUUGAGCCUCAAGGCAAGCCUCCCCUCCCUCCUCCUAUAUAUAUGGAGCAAUUAGGGCUGUUUUGUGACAACUUUUAAGGCAGCCCGACCACAUACCUCCACGGUUUUACCUCUAGAUCGCGUUUCUGCGGAGCUCGGGUGGAGCCCUGCUGAGAUUAGAUCACCACCAAUCUCCGGAGCACCGUCACGCUGCUGGAGAACUCAUCUACCUNNNNNNNNNNNNNNNNNNNNNNNNNNNNNNNNNNNNNNNNNNNNNNNNNNNNNNNNNNNNNNNNNNNNNNNNNNNNNNNNNNNNNNNNNNNNNNNNNNNNNNNNNNNNNNNNNNNNNNNNNNNNNNNNNNNNNNNNNNNNNNNNNNNNNNNNNNAAGGCCGAGAUCAUCGUCGAGCUGUACGUGUGCUGAACGCGGAGGUGCCGUCCGUUCGGCACUAGAUCGUGGGACGAAUCGCGGGACGGUUCAUGGGACGGUUCCUGGGGCGGAUCGAGGGACGUGAGGACNUUCCACUACAUCAACCGCGUUCACUAACGCUUCUGCUGUGCGAUCUACAAGGGUAUGUAGAUCAGAAAUCCCCUCUCGUAGAUGGACAUCACCAUGAUAGGACUUCGUGCGCGUAGGAAAUUUUUUGUUUCCCAUGCGAUGUUCCCAACACCUAUAGCCGGUAAUAAUCCUUUCUGGGAUUAGUUCAUCCUUAUCAUUAGGAACGACGGUGAUACCUCCCUUCUUAGGUACGCAAUGUACUCGACUUACCCAAUCUGACAGCCCGAUGCCGACGUUCCAGAAGAUUCUCCUUCUAUUCCGUUUUCGUCGUGUGGGUAUUUUUAUUUGUCGCAUCAUCAUCGCAUCAUUCGUAUCAUCAGCAUUGCAUCGGCAUCCUGUUGCCGCCAGUUUUUGAAAACUUGCAUCCGUUGUUAGUUGUCGGUUCACGUCGUUGUCCGUUCUGAGCCCGACCGCACUCGCACGCGCCCGCGGCAUCGUUCGAAACCCUGUUUUAAAAGUGUGCAUAAAACUUUCUCUGAUCGGGUUGAGAUUUGACGUGCGGUGUUAUAUUAAUAUAGCUAGGCCGCCCGUCGAAUUUCGUCGCGAUCGGAGUUCCUCUGGUACCCGAACGGUCGACCGUAGCGGCACUGUAUUCGGUCUACCGUCGGACGUUUGUCGGUGUUUUAAAAUUGCGUUGCCGCGCCGCCCGUUUUCCCUCUCGUCUCCGGAUAACCGCUCUACACUGCCCACAAGUUCCACCUAGCCACUUCCUCAGUUCGUGGUACUCGAAUCGCGAUUGGACGGACGGGGUCCACCCCACCGGAGACCAACCCUAUAAGUAGCACCCCCUAGAGAGGCCUCUCUCACUUCACUAGGGUUCCGGCUAGUCGUUUUUGCAGCCAACCCCCCUAGAAAUCCCCACCUACUAGCCCACACCCUUCAAAUCCCGCAGCCCAAGCUCCAUAGCCUUUCUCAGCCUUCGGAUCUAAGAUAUAGGGCUCAGAUUCGUCCAAAUCCCCACCUACCGGACGACCACAGGAGAUUCAUGCCUUGGCCAGCUCUUCCCGAGCUCCGCCCAUGGCAGCAGCCACCCGAUGCCCUCGCUCCUGCGCCCGUAGCUGGCCUCGCCCCAUCGUCGUGCUCUGCCCGCCGGCCAUGGCUGCCGCCUCGCCGCCACCCUCGUUCCCGGCGAGUUCCUGACCGCCUCCUGCCACAUCCCGCAUGCAGUAGGAUCCCAACCUCCGGGAAGCGCCGCCGCACCAGCCUCCCGUCGUCGUGUCCGUUUGGUGUCGCCGUCGUGUGGAUCCGGAGCAGACUGGCCGGAUCUGUCCGAUCCCGGCUGUGGCAAGCUCGCCAACGCCCGAUGCCAUCGCCGUUGACCUGCCUCGCCGCUCUUUCCUCCCGCUCGGGAACGAGCAGGGAGGCCCUGCAGCUCCCGUGUCGCCAGCGCUAGGAGGGCCACGCGAGCGCUCUGCCCCGUGGGCCGCUUGGACCACCAGGCGCCUCAGCCAGCGCCUCCUCCUGGCCCAGCUCGCCCCGUCCGCGAGGCCCAGGCCAGCGCCUCGGCCUGCCUCCUCCUCUCCAGGCCUGCCAACGCCCUAGGCCCAAGGUGAGAACCCCCCUGAUCCUCUAUUCUUCGCCCAUGUGCUGAUUUGUUAUCAUGCGCCCGUGUACUGUUCGGCCCAUUAGGGAUUUAGGAUGUUUUAGGAAUUUAUAAUUCCAGAAAAUAGGCAUAUAUUACAUCGCCCGUAGUUUUAAAUCCGUAAGUCGGAUCGCGACAUAUUGUAUAUGGUUUUGGGGCAGUUUUUGCGAGUAGAACACGAUUUCACAACUUGCAAAUUUGUUUGGCGUCGUUUAGCGCAUCGUAUGCCUAGAGUAACGUGUUGUUUAAAUAGGAUACAUACCGUAUUUAUUUAUUUUUCUUGCGGUCCGGAUUGCUCAAGUACCUUAGAUAAAAUUCCUAUGUUUUAGGGACCAUUUUUCCAUGUAUUUUAGAUCAGUCAUUUGUAUUUUUGCGUGUAGGGAUUGCCGCUAGUUUAUUCUCCCGUGUAUAGGUUAUUUUCUCGCAUUUAAGUGUCGCGAUAUUUUUGUGUGUCAAUUAGUUUUAGCUUUUGAGGAAAUUAGUUCGCGCGAUAUUUGGUCAUGUUGCCCUCUUGUCUUUUCCGUAGGAUUUAUUCCGUAUUUCGUUUGAUUAAGUUGUCAACUAGGGAGUUGUUCUUGUGUGUUUACUCUAGCCCCUGGUAUUUUUGGUUGCCAUAGAAAUGCAUGUGUAGGUGUGGUUUGCUUGCUCUCAAGUUGCUUGAAAUAGUGCUGAUUUGGACGUGCUGAAAUAAUUCUAAGUCUGGAAUCUGUUAUAUUUUGUUGGUGUCUUGUCUUGCUUGUAUCUUAUGAUCUGCAGCUCUUUUGAGGUUGGUCCAAUGGAGUUAGUUGAAGCCCUUGUGUUUCUCUAGCAUUCUGUGAAGUUUCAUGCUAUUUAGAGUCCUGUAGCUUAUGGUUUUGCUGCUGUCAAUAUGGCUUCAGAUCGAAAACUGCACUUUCAUGGGGUGUAAUUUUCACUAAGUCUGAAAUAGUGUGUGGGAUGCCAUUUUGUGUCUUCUUUCCCUAGUGAUCCAUGAUGCCAUGCUAGUUAUUGUUAGUUGUUUGUAGUAGUGCUUCUUGCCCUCUUUCGUGUCAUGCCUUGCUUGAGUUUAUCGGAGUUUUGUAGCCGUAGUUGUGGGGCGUAGAAAAUGCUAUGUGGCUGAUUUUGGCAGAUUGUAGUCAUUUCUUGUUUUGCUCGUAGUUUUUUGAACCGUAGCUCGGAUUUGAUCGUGUCCUACAUGAAACUUGCUUAGAAUCUCGUGUAGUUUCUUUUUCCCUUGCUGGUUGUAUGUUUUGAAGUGCUCGUGACCGCUGUCGCACACAUAUUGCAUUCAUGCCAUCAUAUCUUGCGGUGCUUGUAACUUUUGAUCCGUAGCUCCGUUGGAGAUGUUCUCUACAUGUUGAUUGCUUGAAAUGACGCGUAGAAUCACGUGAACCUAUUUGUUUUGCUGUUUAACAACUAUUUAAAUGUGUUAGUUCAGAUCUGGACAGAAUCGUAAAUUAACAUGUGAGGUCGUCUCGGAGGUUCUAUAUGUCAUUUCCGACCUCAUUUAAAAUGCCUAGAUAAGUAGUUUAAUUACGCUUCACCUCUUGCCAUGUUUAAUCACAUUUAAUAUUGCCGUGUAUCUAAUCGGGAUAGAACUAAAUAAUUAAACAUGGAGUUUCGUCAAUAUGCAACUCGUUGCAUAUUGAACUUCACUUAAUGUGUAGUGUUUGAUUGUGUGGAUUGUCAUGCCGUGUCUUGCAUGUAUUCAGCCGCUCAUGCAUCAUUUGUGUUGUGCAUCGUGUGGUGAAUAUCUUGUGUUGAUUUGUGUUUCCGGUUUGCUCCGUCUCGAUAGAGUUCCGCAAGCGUGUCGGAUGUGAGGACCUGUUCGACUACGUCGGUUCGUCUGCUUCACGGAGGCAUUCUUCUUCCAAGCGGGAUCUCAGGCAAGAUGUUCAUUUCCCCAUAUACCAUUACUAUCAUUGUCAUGCUAGUUUUAUUGUUUCUACCGUUUAUGUCUCGUUGCCUACCACAUGUUAAAUAUCAGCCUCUCAACAAUGCCAUGAAACCUUCAACCUGUUCAACCUAGCAAACCACUGAUUGGCUAUGUUACUGCUUGCUUAACCAUGUUGUUAGAGUUGCUAGUUGCAGGUGCAUUGCUUCCAUGUGAAAGCAUGGGUUCCUUGUUAUAUCACCAUAUUACUGCUAUUUAAUUUAAUGCACCUAUAUACUUGGUAAAAGGUGGAAGGCUCGGCCUUUCUAGCCUGGUGUUUUGUUCCACCUUUGCCCCCUUAGUUUUCGGCUACCGGUGCUAUGUUCCAUAAAUGAGCGCUCCUAACACGGUCGGGGUUGUUAUGGGGACCCCCUUGAUAAUUCGUUUUAGAUUAAGACUGGUCUCGCAAGGCCCAACUUUGGUACUACAUUUGCCUAAACACCUAAUAAAAUUGCAUAGGGACUUUCCGGACCCCGAGGAUAAUUUAAUCAACCCCCGGGCGAGUGCUCCUCAUGAGUGUUGGUCCAAAUUGGCAGACUACGGGGCCACCGCGGGGAAACCCGAGGUUUGGUUCUACUAGUGUGACCCAUCCGUCGUGUCCUGAGAACGAGGUACGCGACUCCUAUCGGGAUCGUCGACACGUCGGUCGGCCUUGCUGGAUUAGUUUUACCUUUGACAGAAUAUCUUGUGCAUCGGGAUUCUGGUGAUGCUUUGGAUAAUCUCAGAGUUGAGGUUUUUCACUAGGGAAUCCGACGAGAUCGUGAGCUUCGUGAUUCAGGAUUUCUAUGCGGCUUGUGGUAAUUUGUGAUGAACUAGUUGGAGCACCCCUGCAGGGUUAAAUAUUUCGGAAAGCCGUGCCCGCGGUUAUGUGGCAACGUGGAAACUUUGUUUAACACUGGUUCUAGAUAACUCAAAGUUAAUUAAUUAAAAUAUGCCAACUGUGUGCGUAACCGUGACUGUUUCUUUCGUGAGUUCCUUCUCCGAUCGAGGACACGGUGGGGUUAUGUCUGACGUAGGUAGGUGUUCAGGAUCAUUCAUUUGAUCAUCUGUAGUUCACGUCCGCUAUGCGUAGAUCUUUCCCCUCUUACUUCUUGUACUCGUAAGUUAGCCACCAAAUAUAUGCUUAGCCGCUGCUGCAACCUCACCACUUAACCUUACCUCACCCAAUAAGCUUUGCUAGUCUUGAUACCUUUGGAAAUGAGAUUGCUGAGUCCCCUGUGGCUCACAGAUUACUACAACACUAGUUGCAGGUACAGGUAAAGGUUACUUGACGCGAACGCGUUGAUUGUUCAUUUGGAGUUGCUUCUUCUGCUUCUUCUUCAUCGAUCUAGGAUGGGUUCCAGGCCGGCAGCCUGGGAUAGCAAGGAUGGACGUCGUUCUUCUUUUCUCGUUUGUUUUCGUCUGUAGUCGGACCCUGCUUUUACUCUUAAUGAUUAUGUAAUGUACUGAUGUGACUCUGAUGUAGCUUGUGGCGAGUGUAAGCCAAUUCUAUUAUAUAUCUCUUCUUUUCAGUACAUGUACUUGUAACGAUAUCCAUUCUUGCGACACGACGAGAUGCGCUUCUAUCCUUGAUGAGGCCUUCGUGCCAAAUUGAGGAUAGGGUCGCAUCUUGGGCGUGGCAAGUUGGUAUCAGAGCAGUACCGGCCUAGGAGCCCCUUGAUUGAUCAAACAUGGCCGAGUCGAGUCUAGUGAAAAAAUACUUUGAGUCAAGUUAUAUAUCGAAGAGUAGGAUUCUUUUUUCUCCUCUUCUAUGCUUUGGUGAGGAAUCUUGACGUAAUAAUUUACUCUACUCCUCUUCUCAUUCUAUUUUUUUUAGGAUCACGCGGAUAUUUUUGGAAUCUAUAUGUUGGAGAUGUGACGGAGUUCUGUCUUGGUGCCUCCUAUCUGCUUUGAGUUUCAGGGGAGUUGAGCUCCAGGGGAUUCUUGAGCACAUCAUUAUCAUUCAGAUUUCUUAGUAUCUCAGAACGAAGGAUGUUCAUAAUUGCUUCAAUACUAGUAGUGGCGAGAUAACCCCGAUGUCCCCAGUACUCGUGCAGAUUGUUCGGGAGUACUGCCAUACUUUGUAUUGUUGUGAUCACGAGGGUCUGUUGUAGAUGAAUGUCCGAGAUUCUGGUUGUGUGUUGACGGAUGUGAUACAGGUGACGGGUUAGUAUAGGAGUUGUGUGUUAUUACUCCUUGUAUCCGUGUACCAGAUUGCAUGACCAGUUAUUUCGGGAAUUCAUAGGUGGGAAUUCUAGUAGUCGCUUACACGACAAUCUUCCAACAAAUUCUUGAUGUUAGGUUGGGGUUCGACAUCUAGUGGAUUCCUGUCCACGAAAAUAUCGGACGAAAUCUUUCUCAUGAGUUUGAUCUGGCUUGUUUCAUAAGCCUCACCCUUUGUUUGUUGAAAUAUGGCAAUUCGCGUUGCUUCGAUGUCAAGUGGUGAUUUCAGAUCUUUCCUACGAGGUGUUCUCCUAUUUUUAUGUGAAUGCAAAUUCUUUGCUCAAUCAAUCGUCUUAAGCAAUUCUUGUCAACCGGAGUCGUCAUGUUAAUUCGUUUCCAACCGGUGUGCUUCUCUUCAGUGAAUUCAAUCCUCUUUAAUAUUUGCAAGAUCAUUCUCUCAUUUUAUUCCGGAGUUCAUCUCAUCUGUUCCAAGUUGUUUUUGUUUUUCCCCGCCCUCCCGCCGUUUUCUUCAAUGUUUGGAUUUCAUCCAAGUGCAUUCAAUUUUAGUGAUGCUUCCGCUGUCUGUUCUUUUCUCUCUUACCUGGUGAUUCAUUGUGAAGAUUCUCAGGAGAUUCGUGUCAUAUUUGUUCAUUCUUGUCAUUCUUAUCGGUGAAUUUAAUUCAGUUGUCCGUGUCAUCAUAUCCUUUUCAUCCUUGUAAUUCUUUCCUAUGUUGGAGAUUCUUGUUAGCCUAUCUUGGUUAUUAAUUCCUCUCUCUUUCUAUCCGGAGUGUUAAAUAUAUUUCAGGUGUUCUGGUUUUCAAUCCUUCAGUCAUUUCGAGGUGCUAACCUCAUCUAGUCUUCAUUUGUACCGGUGCAAUAUCAAUCUUUCUAGCAAUCUUUUCUAACGAUGAUUUCUUUGAGUGGGCCCAUAACCCACAGGUUUUCCCAGGAUCUUUCCUGACUCUUUUAGUUUUUUCCCGGAGAUCUUUAAUUCUUCUCAACUAUGACGUAAGUAUGAAUUUCAUCAGUCUUAUUCCUUCUUCAAAAUCAAUUUGAAUUAAUUCUCAUAUUUGGCUCAACCUUUCAUUCUUCAUUAUUACGGAGUGUCUCACUUAUUCUUGGUGUUGUUCUCAUCAUUAUUCUUAGCUUGCAAUCCGAAGGAGUGUUUCUCUCAAAUCUUUGUCCAUUCUCUUGGAGAUUCAUCAUUUCAGCUUGGUGCCAUCAUCUUAAUUGUUCCAAUCAUGAGUAAUCCCUUUUCUUGCUAUCCGGUGCUUUUCUGAGUUGAUUUCAUUCUCGAUCCUCCGAAGGCCAUCAUUUCAGAAGACUUUUUCGUUCUCAGCUUUCAUCUUUCGUUCUCUAAUUCUUCUCCAUUGUUGUCUCUUCGUUCGUCUCUCGAUUGUCCGGCACCUUGUUUAAGUUGUCUUCUCUCAGGUGGCUCAUGAGCUCUUCAUUAUCAUGUAUCUCCAUUGAUUCGUUGUGUUCCCAUUCAAAUGUGAAUUCUUACCGGUGCUUCUUUCAAUCAUGCCUCAAGUGGUGCUUAUCUCUCUGCCUCUUCAAGAUUCUUUCAAGAAGAAUAAGUGGUAUGCUAAAUCCGCUGCUUGUCAUCAAUUAAACUUGAUGAAGAACAAGCAUAACAUAAUUCUUAUUCUUGUUCGUAGUAUUUUGAAUUCUUCUUCCGGAGUGGCUCAUGGUUUCCAUUAUUUUCUCGUGUGCUUAUCUUUAUUUUCCGGAGUUCCAAGUUCUUUUUAGUAUCUCUUUGUGAGGCUUCUUCUAAAUCCUGGCAAGGUCAUAAUCUUAUUCUUUUCUACCUUGUUAUCUUUGCAUCGUUCAUUUGUAUACGGAGGUCCUUCAUGGUGGUUCAUCAAGGUUUCCAUCCAUUCUCAAGUGUUCUUCAAGAUUCGUGUUGGAGAACCUCAAGUGUCCUUUCUCUUGCAUUUGUAUGUGCAAUUGUUCUUCCUUUAUCCUUUGCGGUGGUAUUAUAGCAUUCUUGUUAGUGUAGGAGCCUCGAAGAGUUUUCCUUUCAAGAAUGAGAUAAUUAAACCUACCAAUUCUAUGAUCUUGAGAUAUUUGCAACCCAUGAUUUCUUCAUUGAGCUAUCUUGGUUUGGAUUUCACUUAAAGCUUUUCCUAUGGAUUGUUGCUAUCAUGGUGCUUGUCAUUAAUCCAAGUUCUCAAUGUAUCCUCUUGGUGUAAGGAAUUGUUCAUAUCUUGUUUCUCCCAAUCAUUCAUUGUUUAUUUUAGUGGGUUGUUGUCACCUCACAAAUGUGAGAUGGUUUUCAUAAGCCCACUACUAUCUUGUUCUUUUCGUUGUUGUUUUUCCAACAACUUCGUCCAAUUCUUCUUGCAAGGAUGCUUGCCAAGUUCAUUGGAGUUAAUAGUUGUCUUUCUCUACUUCCGCUUAAGCUAGUUCAUAUUCUCUUGUUCCGGAGGCAUUGUGAUGUUGCUCUUUUGGGUCUAUUAUGUUGUUCUAUCAAGAUCAUGGUGUUUCCUUGCUCUAUUUACUUGUUUGUUGUGAAUAUUGUCUAUUUCUUCCAUCUUAUCGAUUUUUUUGUCCCAUGUUCCUACCGAAGUGCUGCCGAAAUUUUCCGUGAAUUCUUGCUUCUUUCUCAUAUCAUUCCUCAUCUCUUUGCAACCUUCAAGGAUCGUUGGUUUCACUCGCUUGUCAAAGAAGCGAUUAAAUUUUUACCUCUUGUUCUUUCUCAUCCUCUCCCCCUUUCAUUCCUGGAUCUCGGGGCGAGAUCCUCUUGUAGUGUAGGAGAGUUGUGACACCCCGAUGCCGAUGUUCUAGAAGAUUCCCCUUCUAUUCUGUUUUCGUCGUGUGGGUAUUUUUAUUUGUCGCAUCAUCAUCGCAUCAUUUGCAUCAUCAGCAUUGCAUCGGUAUCCUGUUGCCGCCAGUUUUCGAAAACUUGCAUCCAUUGUUAGUUGCCGGUUCACGUCGUUGUCCGUUCUGAGCCCGAUCGCACUCGCACGUGCCCGCGGCAUCGUUCGAAACCCUGUUUUAAAAGUGUGCGUAAAACUUUCUCUGAUCGGGUUGAGAUUUGACGUGCGGUGUUAUUUUCAUAUAGCUAGGCCGCCUGUCGAAUUUCGUCACGAUCGGAGUUCGUCUGGUACCCGAACGGUCGACCGUAGCGGCACCGUAUUCGGUCUACCGUCGGACGUUUGUCGGUGUUUUAAAAUUGCAUUGCCGCGCCGCCCGUUUUCCCUCUCGUCUUCGAAUAACUGCUCUACACAGCCCACUAGUUCCACCAAGCCACUUCCUCCGUUCGUGGUCAUCGGAUCGCGAUCGUAUGGACGGGGUCCACCCCACCGGAGACCAACCCUAUAAGUAGCACCCCUAGAGAGACCUCUCUCACUUCACUAGGGUUCCCCCUAGUCGUUUUUGCAGACAACCCCCCUAGAAAUCCCCACCUGCUAGCCCACACCCUUCAAAUCCCACAGCCCAAGCUCCAUAGCCUUUCUCAGCCUUCGGAUCUAAGAUAUGGGGAUCAGAUUCGUCCAAAUCCUCACCUACCGGACAUGUCCGUGGUCAAAUCGGACAUGUCCGGGCGACCACAGGAGAUUCAUGCCAUGGCUAGCUCCUCCCGAGCUCCGCCCAUGGUAGCAGCCACCUGAUGCCCUCGCUCCCGCGCCCGUAGCUGCCCUCGCCCCACCGCCGUGCUCUGCUCGCCGGCCAUGGCCGCCGCCUCACCGCCACCCUCGUUCCCGGCGAGUCCCCAACCGCCUCGUGCCACAUCCCGCACGCAGUAGGAUCCCAACCUCCGGGAAGCGCCGCCGCACCAGCCUCCCGUCGUCGUGUCUGUUUGGUGUCGCCGUCGUGUGGAUCAGGAGCACACUGGCCGGAUCUGUCCGAUCCCGGCUGUGGCAAGCUCCCCAAUGGCCGAUGCCAUCGUCGUUGACCUGCCCCGCCGCUCCUUCCUCCCGCUCGGGAACGAGCAGGGAGGCCCUGCAGCUCCUGCGUCGCCAGCGCCAGGAGGGCCACGCGAGCGCUCCGCCCCGUGGGCCGCUUGGACCACCAGGCGCCUCAGCCAGCGCCUCCUCCUGGCCCAGCUCGCCCCGUCCGCGAGGCCCAGGCCAGCGCCUCGGCCUGCCUCCUCCUCUCCAGGCCUGCCAACACCCUAGGCCCAAGGUGAGAACCCCCCCGAUCCUCUAUUCUUCGCACAUGUGCUGAUUUGUUAUCCUGAGCCCGUGUACUCUUCGGCCCAUUAGGGAUUUAGGAUGUUUUAGGAAUUUAUAAUUCCAGAAAUUAGGCAUAUAUUAGAUCGCCCGUAGUUUUAAUUCCGUAAGUCGGAUCACGACAUAUUGUAUAUGGUUUUGGGGCAGUUUUUCCGAGUAGAACACAAUUUCACCACUUGCAUAUUUGUUUGGCGUCGUUUAGCGCACCGUAUGCCUAGAGUAACGUGAUGUUUUAGUAGGAUACGUCCCGUAUUUAUUUAUUUUCUUGCGGUCCGGAUUGCUCGAGUACCUUAGAUAAAAUGCCUAUGUUUUAGGGACCAUUUUUCCAUGUAUUUUAGAGCAGUCAUUUGUAUUUUUGCGUGUAGGGAUUGCCGCUAGUUUAUUUUCCCGUGUAUAGGUUAUUUUCUCGCAUUAAAAUGUCACGAUAUUUUUGUGUUGCAACCCCACUUGUUUUACAUGUUUUCGGGGUAGAAAAAUCCAUGGGAUUAUUCUGUGCAAUUAGUUUUAGCUUUUGGGAAAUUAGUUCGCGCGAUAUUUGGCCAUGUUGCCCUCUUGUCUUUUCCGUAGGAUUUAUUCCGUGCUUCGUUUGAUUAAUUUGUCAACUAGGGAGUUGUUCUUGGGUGUUUACUCUAGCCCCUGGUAUUUUUGGUUGCAAUAGAAAUGCAUGUUUAGGUGUGGUUUGCUUGCUCUCAAAUUGCUAGAAAUAGUGCUGAUUUGGACGUGCUGAAAUAAUUCUAAGUCUGGAAUCUGUUAUAUUUUGUUGUUGUCUUGUCUUGCUUGUAUCUUGUGAUCUCUAGCUAUUUUGACGUUGGUCCAAUGGAGUUAGUUGAAGCCCUUGUGUUUCUCUAGAAUGCUGUGAAGUUUCAUGCUAUUUGAAGUCUUGUAGCUUAUGAUUUUGCUGCUGUCAAUAUGGCUUCAGAUCGAAAACUGCACUUUCGUGAGGUGUAAUUUUAACCAAGUCUGAAAUAGUGUGUGGGAUGCCAUUUUGUGUCUUCUUUCCCUAGUGAUCCAUGAUGCCAUGCUAGUUGUUGAUAGUUUUUUGUAGUAGUGCUUCUUGCCCUCUUUCGUGUCAUGCCUUCCUUGAGUUUAUCGGAGUUGUGUAGCCGUAGUUGUGGGGCGUAGAAAAUGCUAUGUGGCUGAUUUUGGCAGAUUGUAGUCAUUUCUUGUUUUGCUCGUAGUUUUUGAACCGUAGCUCCAAUUUGAUCGUGUCCUACACGAAACUUUCUUAGAAUCUCAUGUAGUUUCUUUUUCCCUUUCUGAUUGUAUGUUUUGAAGUGCUCGUGACCACCUUUGCACACAUAUUGCAUUCAUGCCAUCAUAUCUUGCGGUGCUUGUAACUUUUGAUCCGUAGCUCCGUUGGAGAUGUUCUCUAUGUGUAGAUUGCUUGAAAUGAUGCGUAGAAUCACAUGAACCUAUUUGUUUUGUUGUUUAACAACUAUUUAAAUGUGUUAGUUCAGAUCUGGACAGAAUCGUAAAUUAACAUGUGAGGUCGUCUCGGAGGUGCUAUAUGUCAUUUCCGACCUCAUUUAAAAUGCCUAGAUAAGUAGUUUAAUUAUGCUUCACCUCUUGCCAUGUUUAAUCACAUUUAAUAUUGCCGUGUAUCUAAUCAGGAUAGAACUAAAUAAUUAAACGUGGAGUUUCGUCAAUAUGCAACUCGUUGCAUAUUGAACUUCACUUAAUGUGUAGUGUUUGAUUGUGUGGAUUGUCAUGCCGUGUCUUGCAUGUAUUCAGCUGCUCAUGCAUCAUUUGUGUUGUGCAUCGUGUGGUGCAUAUCUUGUGUUGAUUUGUGUUUCCGGUUUGCUCCGUCUCGAUAGAGUUCCGCAAGCGUGUCGGAUGUGAGGACCCGUUCGACUACGUCGGUUCGUCUGCUUCACGGAGGCAUUCUUCUUCCAAGCGGGAUCUCAAGCAAGAUGAUCAUUUCCCCAGAUACCAUUACUAUCAUUGGCAUGCUAGUUUUACCGUUUCUACCGUUUCUGUCUCGUUGCUUACCACAUGUUAAAUAUCAGCCUCUCAACAAUGCCAUGAAACCUUCAACCUGUUUAACCUAGCAAACCACAGAUUGGCUAUGUUACUGCUUGCUUAACCAUGUUGUUAGCGUUGCUAGUUGUAGGUGCAUUGCUUCCAUGUGAAAGCAUGGGUUCCUUGUUAUAUCACCAUAUUACUGCUAUUUAAUUUAAUGCACCUAUAUACUUGGUAAAAGGUGGAAGGCUCGACCUUUCUAGCCUGGUGUUUUGUUCCACCUUUGCCCCCUUAGUUUUCGGCUACCGAUGUUAUGUUCCAUAAAUGAGCGCUCCUAACACGGUCGGGGUUGUUAUGGGGACCCCCUUGAUAAUUCGUUUUAGAUUUAGACUGGUCUCGAAGGGCCCAACUUUGGUACUACAUUUGCCUAAACACCUAAUAAAAUUGCAUAGGGACUUUCCGGACCCCGAGGAUAAUUUAAUCAACCCGUGAGCCAGUGCUCCUCAUGAGUGUUGGUCCAAAUUGGCAGACUACGGGGCCACCGCGGGGCAACCCGAGGUUUGGUUCUCCUAGUGUGACCCAUCCGUCGUGUCCUGAGAACGAGGUACGCGACUCCUAUCGGGAUCGUCGACACGUCGGGCGGCCUUGCUGGAUUAGUUUUACCUUUGACGGAAUAUCUUGUGCAUCGGGAUUCCGGUGAUGCUUUGGGUAAUCUCAGAGUUGAGGUUUUUCACUAGGGAAUCCGACAAGAUCGCGAGCUUCGUGAUUGAGGAUUUCUAUGCGGCUUGUGGUAAUUUGUGAUGGAAACUUUGUUUAAAUCUUUCGGAAAGCCGUGCCCGCGGUUAUGUGGCAAUGUGGAAACUUUGUUUAACACUGGUUCUAUAUAACUCGAAGUUAAUUAACUAAAAUAUGCCAACUGUGUGCGUAAUCGUGACUGUCUCUUUCGUGAGUUCCUUCUCCGAUCGAGGACACGGUGGGGUUAUGUCUGACGUAGGUAGGUGUUCAGGAUCAUUCAUUUGAUCAUCUGUAGUUCACGUCCGCUAUGCGUAGAUCUUUCCCCUCUUACUUCUUGUACUCGUAAGUUAGCCACCAAAUAUAUGCUUAGCCGCUGCUGCAACCUCACCACUUAACCUUACCUCACCCAAUAAGCUUUGCUAGUCUUGAUACCUUUGGAAAUGAGAUUGCUGAGUCCCCUGUGGCUCACAUAUUACUACAACACCAGUUGCAGGUACAGGUAAAGUUUACUUGACGCGAGCGCGUGAUUGUUCAUUUGGAGUUGCUUCUUCUUCUUCUUCUUCAUCGAUCUAGGAUGGGUUCCAGGCCGGCAGCCUGGUAUAGCAAGGAUGGACAUCGUUCUUCUUUUCUCGUUUGUUUUCGUCCGUAGUCGAACCCUGAUUUUACUCUUGAUGAUUAUGUAAUGUACUGAUGUGACUCUGAUGUAGCUUGUGGCGACUGUAAGCCAAUUCUAUUAUAUAUCUCUUCUUUUUCAGUACAUUUACUUGUAACGAUAUCUAUUCUUGCGACACGACGAGAUGCGCUUGUAUCCCUGACAAGGCCUUCGUGCCAAAUUGAGGAUAGGGUCGCAUCUUGGGCAUGGCACCCAAUCACUAUGAGCAACAAGAUAAAUGAUUCCUCCUUCGAGAAGCUUUAAUAUUUCUUUUCUAACAACUUCUUUCAUCUUAGGAUUUAAUCUCCUUUGAUGAUCAGCAACUGGUUUGAAGUCAGGAUCGGUUUUAAUCUUGUGCUGGCGUAGAGUGGGACUAAUACCCUUAAGAUCAUCAAGAGUAUAUCCAAUAGCAGCACGGUGCUUCCUCGGAGUUCUUAGUAACUUCUUCUCUUCAUGCUCUGAGAGGAGGGCACUAAUAAUGACAGGAUAUAUCUCCUUCUCAUCAAGAUAGGAAUACUUAAGAGUAUCAGGCAACUGUUUAAGCUCGAACACAGGAUCACCCUUUGGUGGGGGAGGAUCCCCAAGGAGUUCAACAGGUAGAUUAUUCUUGAGAAUAGGAUAUUGUUCUAAGACAAUUUUAUCUAUCUCAUCUCUCUCCUCCAUAUGCAUAUCAUUUUCAUGCUCAAGAAGAUAUUGCUCUAAAGGAUCCGUAGGAGGUAUGGCAAUAGAGGCAAGAGCAAUGAUUUCAUCCCUACCAGACGACUCUCUUUCAUGGGGUUGUCUUCCAAACUUGGAGAAGUUAAAUUCAUGAGACACACCCUCGAAACUAACAGUGACGGUCUGCUUAAUGCAAUCAAUGUGAGCAUUGACAGUGUUGAGAAAGGGUCUACCAAAUAUGAUGGGACAAAAGCUAUCUUGUGUAGUACCAAGGACGAGGAAAUCAAUAGGAUACUUCGUCUUACUACACAGGACUUCUACGUCUCUCACAAUUGCCAGAGGGCAGAUAGUGUCUCUAUUAACUAGCGUACUAGUGACAUCAAUGGGUUCUAACUCAGCAGGUGCAAUCUCAUCUUUGAUUUCAUCAUAUAGAGAACGGGGUAUUGCACUAACACUAGCUCCCAUAUCACAUAAACCAUGGUAACAGUGAUCUCCUAUCUUGACAGAAACAACAGGCAGGCCAACUACAGGUCCGUGUUUGUCUUUCGCGUGAGGUUUAGCAAUUCUAGCGGAGUCCUCAUAGAAUUUAAUAACAUGCCCAUCUAUGUCUUCGGCUAAGAGAUCUUUGAUAAUAGCAACACUAGGUUCAACUCUAAUCUCCUCAGGGGGUGCAAGUGGUCUAAUGUAACCCCUACGUAUCACAGUUGGAGCUUUAGAAUAAUCCUUUAUCCUAGCAGGGUAUGGUGGUUUCUCAGUGUAAGCACAAGGAACAACAGGAUCACUAAAAACAAUGACUUUCUCCUCAACUAGAUUGGUUUUGGCUAUGUUGCUUUCUACAGGAGGAUGAUAUUUAAACCACUUCUCUUUGGGAAGAUCAACAUGAGCAGCAAAAGAUUCACAUAGAGAAGCUACUAUCUUAGAGUCAAGUCCAUACUUAGCGCUAAAAUCUCUAAAGUGUUUGUCUCAACAAAAGAUUUAACGCAAUCAAACUAGAAAUUCAUACCUGACUCCUUACCUUCCUCCAGCUCCCAAUCUUCAGAGUUGUGUUUGAUUCUCUCCAAUAAAUUCCACUUGUGAUCAAUAUCCUUCUUCAUAAAAGAACCGGUACAAGAAGUGUCAAGCAUGGUACGAUCUUCAUGAGAAAGCCGAGCAUAAAAGUUUUGAGUGAUGAUUUCUCUCGAGAGCUCAUGAUUGGGGCAUGAAUAUAGCAUUGAUUUAAGCCUCCCCCAAGCUUGAGCUGUGCUUUCCCUGUCACGAGGCCAAAAGUUAUAAAUAAAGUUCCGAUCACGAUGUACUAAAUGCAUAGGAUAGAACUUUUGAUGAAAUUCCAAUUUCAACCGAUGGUAGUCCCAUGAUCCAGUAUCAUCACAUAUCCUAUACCAUGUCAACGCCUUAUCCUUCAAAGAUAAAGGAAAGACUUUAUUCUUUACCUCAUCCUCGGGCAAACCUGCAAGCUUAAAUAAACCACAAACUUCAUCUACAUAGAUUAGAUGCAAGUCUGGAUGUGAAGAUCCAUCUCGUGUAAAAGGAUUAGCGAGCAGUUUCUCAAGCAUACCCGAAGGAAUUUCAUAAAAGAUAUUUUCAGUAGGUACCUCAGGUUGAGGAACAACUCCUCGUGCUUCUGUUCGUGGUGAAGAUACCCCGAACAAACUCCUCAAAGGAACAGUUUCCAUAGUGACAAGUGACAAUAAAUUUCAGCAUAGUAUAAAAAUGUUUCCUUGCCAAAGGCGCUUCACUCCCCGGCAACGGCGCCAGAAAAGAGUUUUGAUGACCCACAAGUAUAGGGGAUCAAUCGUAGUCCUUUCGAUAAGUAAGAGUGUCGAACCCAACGAGGAGCAGAAGGCUCUGAUAAACGGAUUUCAGCAAGGUAAAAACUGCAAGCACUGAAAGUAGCGGUAACAAGUGAUUGUGUAGCGAGGUGAAACGUAGCAAGCAAAAAAGUAACAAGUAACAAGUAGUAGCAACGGUGCAGCAAGUGUCCCAAUCCCUUUUGUAGCAAGGGACAAGCCUGAACAAAGUCUUAUAGAAGGAAAAACGCUCCCGAGGACACACGGGAAUUUCUGUCAUGCUAGUUUCAUCAUGUUCAUAUGAUUCGCGUUCGUUACUUUGAUAGUUUGAUAUGUGGGUGGACUGGCGCUUGGGUACUGCCCUUACUUGGACAAGCAUCCCACUAAUGAUUAACCUCUCUCACAAGCAUCCGCAACUACAAAAGAAGAAUUAAGACAACGUCUAACCAUAGCAUUAAACUAGUGGAUCCAAAUCAGCCCCUUACGAAGCAACGCAUAGACUGGGGUUUAAGCUUCUGUCACUCCAGCAACCCAUCAUCUACUUACUACUCCCCAAUGCCUUCCUCUAGGCCCAAAUAUGGUGAAGUGUUAUGUAGUCGACAUUCACAUAACACCACUAGAGGAAAAGACAACAUACAUCAUAUCAAAAUACCGAACGAAUAUCAAAUUCACAUGACUAUUAUCAGCAUGACUUAUCCCAUGUCCUCAGGAACAAAAGUAACUACUCACAAAACAUAAUCAUAAUCAUGAUCAGAGGUGUAAUGAAUAGCAUCAAGGAUCUGAACAUAAACUCUUCCACCAAGUAAUCCAACUAGCAUCAACUAUAAAGAGUAAUCAACACUACUAGUAACCUUACAAGUACCAAUCGGAGUCGUGAGACAGAGAUUGGUUACAAGAGAUGAACUAGGGAUUGUAGAGGAGAUGGUGCUGAUGAAGAUGUUGAUGAAGAUGCCUCCCCUCCGACGAGAGGAGUGUUGGUGAUGACGAUGGCGACAAUUUCCUCCUCCGGGAGGGAAGUUUCCCCGACAGGAUCGUCCUGCCGGAGCUCUAGAUUGGAUCUGCUCAAGAUCCGCCUCGCGGCGGCGGCGAAACCACGAAAAAGCUCCCGAAUGAUUUCUUUCUGGACCAAAACCCUUCAUAUAGCAAAAGAGGGGGCUAGUGGAUCGUCAGGGAGCCCACAAGCCCCCACUCCGCCACCAGGGGGUGGCGGUGGCAGGGCUUGUGGCGCCCUGGCAGCCCCCUCCGGUACUUCUUUCGCCCAGUAUUUUUUAUAUAAUCCCAAAAAAAUCCAUGUAACUUUUCAGGGCAUUUGGAGAUGUGCAGAAUAGUGGACUAAGAUUUGCUCCUUUUCCAGUCCAGAAUUCCAGCUGCCUGAAUUCUCCCUCUUCAAAUAAACCUUGCAAAAUAAGAGAGAAAAGAAAUAAAUAUGGUACCACAAAGUAAUAUAACAGCCCAAAAAGCAAUAAAUAUCAACAUGAAAUCAUGAUGCAAAAUGGACGUAUCAGUGCCUGUUUCUUCAACUUUUGUUGAAUUGGAUUUGACCGAGGCGGUCCUUGGAGAGAGGUUAAAUAGCAAUUUGCACAUCUCCGUUCUGGUUUUGCGUAAGUAAGGUGCGAUCAUACUAGAUACCCAUAGCAGCCACGUAAGACAUGCAACAACAAAUUAGAGGACGUCUAACUUGUUUUUGCAGGGUACGCUUGUGAUGUGAUAUGGCCAAAGACAUGAUGUGAUAUAUUGGAUGUAUGAGAUGAUCAUGUUGUAAUAGUUAAAUAUCGACUUGCACGUCGAUGCUACGGCAACCGCCAAGAGCCAUAGGGUUGUCUUUAAACUAACGUUUGUGUUUGCAGAUGUGUUUACUAUAUUGCUAGGUUGUAGCUUUAGUUGUAAUAGCAUAGAUAGCACGACAACCUUGAUGGCGGCACGAUGAUGGAGAUCAUGGUGUGGCUCCGGUGACGAUGAAGAUCAUGCCGGUGCUUUGGUGAUGGAGAUCAAGAAGCACAAGAACAUGGACAUAUCAUGUCACUUAUNNNNNNNNNNNNNNNNNNNNNNNNNNNNNNNNNNNNNNNNNNNNNNNNNNNNNNNNNNNNNNNNNNNNNNNNNNNNNNNNNNNNNNNNNNNNNNNNNNNNNNNNNNNNNNNNNNNNNNNNNNNNNNNNNNNNNNNNAAUUGCAUGUGAUGUUAGUCCUUUUAUGCACCUUAUCUUGCUUAGAACAAUGGUAGCAUUAUAAGGUGAUCCCUCACUAAAUUUCAAGAUAAAAAUUGUGUUCUCCCCGACUAUGCACCGUUGCGACAGUUCGUCGUUUUGAGACACCACGUGAUGAUCGGGUGUGAUAGACUCAACGUUCACAUACAAUGGGUGCAAAACAGUUGCACACGCAAAACAUUCGGGUUAAACUUGACGAGCCUAGCAUGUGCACACAUGGCCUCGGAACACAUGGGACCGAAAGGUCGAGCAUGAAUCGUAUAGUUGAUAUGAUUAACAUAGAUAUGUUUACCACUGAAACUGCACUGAACUCACGUAAUGAUCGGACUUGAGUUAGUGAAUUUGGAUCAUGUCACACUCAAGUAACUAGAGGGAUAUCUAUUUGAGUGGGAGUUUAUUAGUAAUUUGAUUAGUUAAACUCUAAUUGUCUUGAACAUAGUCUAAGUCCACUUUGCAAUAUUUUAUGUUGUAGAUCAAUGGCUCACGCAGUAGCAACCCUGAAUUUUAAUACGUUCCUAGAGAAAGCUAAGUUGAAAGAUGAUAGUAGCAACUUUGUAGACUGGGCUCGUAAUCUAAGGCUCAUCCUAAAAGCUAAGAAAAAGAAUUAUGUCCUUGAUACUGCGCUAGGAGAUGAACCACCUGCUACGUCUGAUCAAGAUGUUUUGAACGCUUGGCAAGCACGUAAGCAGGACUACCUAGUAGUUCAAUGUGCAGUCUUGUAUGGCUUAGAACCGGGACUUCAAUGACGCUUUGAACGUCAUGGAGCAUAUGAGAUGUUCUAGGAGUUGAAGUUUAUCUUUCAGAAGAACGACCGGAUCGAGAGGUAUGAGACCUCCGAUAAAUUCUAUGCUUGCAAAAUGGAGGAGAAUUCGUGUGUCAGUGAACAUGUGUUCAAAAUUUCUGGGUACUCAAACCGUCUAGCUGAGUUAGGGAUUGAACUCCUACAAGUGGCUAUCACUGACAGAAUUCUUCAAUCACUGCCACCUAGCUACAAGAGAUUUGUGUUGAACUAUAACAUGCAAGGGAUGAACAAGUCACCCGGCGAGUUAUUCCCGAUGCUGAAAGUCGCACAGUCCGAACUCCGGAACGAGCAUCAAGUGUUGGUGCUCAAUAACACCACUGGUUUCAAGAGAAACGACAAAGGCAAGAAGGGUAGCUCCAAGAAGGGAGGCAAAACUGUUGCUACUCCGACGAAGAAACCCAAGGCUCGACCUAAGCCGGAAAUUGGGGGCUAUUAUUGCAAGGGGAUAGGUCACUGGAAGUGCAACUGCCCCAAGUAUUUGGCUGAUAAGAAGGUGGCCAACACCAAACCAGGUAUAUGUGAUAUACAUGUUAUUGAUGUGUGCCUAACCAACGCUCGUAGUAGUGCCUGGGUAUUUGAUACCGGUUCUGUUGCUCAUAUUUGCAACUCGAAGCAGGAACUACGGAAUAAACGAAGGCUGGCAAAAGAUGAAGUGACGAUGCGCGUGGGAAAUGGUUCCAAGGUUGAUGCAAUCACCGUCGGCACAGUCUCACUUCUGUUACCAUCAGGAUUAGUUAUGAACUUAAAUAAUUUUUAUUUAGUGCCUGCGUUAAUCUUGAACAUUAUAUCUGGAUCUUGUUUAUUGCGAGACGGUUACUCAUUUAAGUCAGAGAAUAAUGGAUGUUCUAUUUUUAUGAGUAAUAUCUUUUAUGGUCAUACACCCAAUGUGAGGGGUUUGUUCAUAUUGAAUCUUGAUUGUGAUGACACACAUAUACAUAACACUAAGACCAAAAGAUGUAGAGUUAACAAUGAUAGCGCCACCUUUUUGUGGCACUGCCGCUUAGGUCAUAUUGGUGUAAAGCGCAUGAAGAAACUCCAUGUUGAUGGGCUUUUGGAGUCACUUGAUUUCGAAUCACUUGACACGUGCGAACCAUGCCUCAUGGGAAAGGUGAAUAAGACUCCAUUCUCCAGAACAAUGGAGCGUGCAGGUGACUUGUUGGAGAUCAUACAUACUGAUAUGUGCGGUCCAAUGAGUGUGGAGGCACGCGGCGGAUAUCGUUAUUUUCUCAACUUCAUUGAUGAUUUGAGUAGGUAUGGAUAUAUCUACUUGAUGAAGCACAACUCUGAAAUGUUUGAAAAGUUCAAGCCAUUUUAGAGUGAAGUUGAAAAUCAUCGUAACAAGAAGAUCAAGUUCCUACGAUCUGAUCGAGGGGGCGAAUAUCUGAGUUUCGAGUUUGGUGCUCACUUAAGACAAUGUGGAAUCAUUUCACAGUUGACACCGCCUGGAACACCACAGCAUAAUGGUGUGUCCAAACGUCGUAAUCAUACUUUGUUAGAUAUGGUGCGAUCUAUGAUGUCUCUUACCGAUUUGCCAUUAUCGUUUUGGGGUUAUGCAUUUGAGACAGCUGCAUUCACUUUAAUUAGGGCACCAUCAAAAUCCGUUGAGACGACACCAUAUGAGCUAUGAAAUGGCAAGAGGCCAAAGUUGUCGUUUCUUAAAGUUUGGGGAUGCGGUGCUUAUGUCAAAAAGCUUCAGCCUGAAAAGCCGGAACCCAAAUCGGAAAAAUGCGUCUUGAUAGGUUACCCAAAAGAGACAGUUGGGUACACCUUCUAUCUCAAAUCCGAGGGCAAAGUGGUUGUUGCUAAGAACGAAGCUUUUCUUGAGAAGGAGUUUCUCUCGAAAUAAUUGAAUGGGAGGAAGAUAGAACUUGAUGAGGUUGUGGAACCUCUGCUCCCUCUAGAUGGUGGCGUAGGGUAGAGGGAAAUCUCUGUCGAGGCAACACUGGUUGAGGAGGAAGCUAAUGAUGAUGAUCAUGAAGCUUCGGAUCAAGUUACUAUCGGACCUCGUAGGUCAACAAGAUCGCGUACUCCUCCUGAGUGGUACGGGAAUCUUGUCUUAUAUAUGAUGUUGUUAGACAACAAUGAGCCUGUGAAUUAUGAAGAAGCAAUGGUGGGCCCAGAUUCCAACAAAUGGCUAGAGGCCAUGAAGUCCGAGAUAGGAUCUAUGUAUGAAAACAAAGUAUCGACUUUGGAAGUAUUACCUGAAGGUCGCAAGGCUAUUCAGAACAAAUGGAUCUUUAAGAAGAAGACGAACACGGACGGUGAUACGUCUCCAACAUAUCUAUAAUUUUUGAUGGUUCCAUGCUAUUAUCUUGUCAAACUUUGGAUGUUUUGUAUGCCUUUUAUAUCUUUUUUGGGACUAACUUAUUAACUCAGUGCCAAGUGCCAAUUCCUGUUUUUUUUCGUGUUUUUGACCCUUUUCAGAGGAGAAUAUUAAACGGAGUCCAAACGGAAUAAAACUUCCGAAAAGAUUUUUUCCAGAACAGAAGGUACGCACGGGGCGUGACAACCAAGGCAGACGCCACCAGGGGAGGCCACAAGCCCCCUAGGCGCGGCCAGGGGGGCGCGCGCCUAGCAGGCUUGUGGGCCCCCUGUGGCUCGUCUGCUCUACCUCUUCCGCCUAUAAAUUCCCGAAAAGUCCAAAACUACGCGAGAGAUCCACGAAAAUACUUUUCCGCCGCGGCAAGCUUCUGUCUCCGCAAGAUCCCAUCUGGGGCACGUUUUGGUGCCCUGCCGGAGGGGGGAUUCGGAUACGAAGGGCUUCUUCAUCAACACCAUUGCCUCUCCGAUGAUGCGUGCGUAGUUCACCAUAGACCUUCGGGUCCAUAGCUAGUAGCUAGAUGGCUUCUUCUCUCUCUUGGAUCUUCAAUACAAAGUUCUCCAUGAUCUUCAUGGACAUCUAUCCGAUGAAAUCUACUUUUGGGUGUGUUUGUUGAGAUCCGAUGAAUUGUGGGUUUAUGAUCAGAUUAUCUAUGAAUCUUAUUUGAGUUUCUUCUGAUCUCUUAUAUGCAUGAUUUCAUAUCAUUGUAAUUUUCUUCGAGUUGUGGGUUUUGUUUGGCCAACUUGAUCUAUGAUUCUUGCAAUGGGAGAAGUUCUUGGUUUUGGGUUCAUACCGUGCGGUGACCUCACCCAGUGACAGAAGGGGUAGCGAGGAACGCAUCAUGUUUUUGCCAUCAAGGGUAAAAAGAUGGGGUUUAUAUCUAUUGCAUGAAUUUAUCCCUCUACAUCAUGUCAUCUUGCUUAAGGCGUUACUAUGUUCGCCAUGAACACAAUACACUAGAUGCAUGCUGGAUAGCGGUCGAUGUGUGGAGUAAUAGUAGUAGAUGCAGAAAGUAUCAGUCUACUUGUCUCAGAUGUGAUGCCUAUAUGUAUGAUCAUUGCCUUAGAUAUCGUCAUGACUUUGCGCGGUUCUAUCAAUUGCUCGACAGUAAUUUGUUCACCCACCGUAAUAUCUGCUAUUUUGAGAGAAACCUCUAGUGAACACUAUGGCCCCCCGGUCUACUUCACAUCAUAUUUUCAGCCUUACACUUUUACUUCCUUGCACUUUCCGCCUUCAAAUCUCACUUUCCAAUCAAUCUUGAAGGGAUUGACAACCCCUUUAUAGCAUUCGAUGCAAGCUCGUUUGUGUUUACGCAGGUACUCUGGAAACUUGGCUUGAUUCUCGUACUGGAUUGAUACCUUGGUUCUCAAACUGAGGGAAAUACUUAUUGCUACUGUGCUGCAUCACCCUUUCCUCUUCAAGGGAAAACCAAUGCAAGCUCAAGAGGUAGCAAGAAGAAUUUAUGGCGCCAUUGCCGGGGAGUAUCAAGUCAAGAAUAGUCUCCUGUCAACGUGUCAAUUUCUGGCACCGGGGAUUAUUCUAAGUGAAGCUUAUCCAAGUAAGUGUCGCAAAGCAAUCUUUUGCAUUUACUUUUUGCCUCUCGUUUUCCUCUCCCCCACUUCUGGAAAAUAAAAAUUGACAAAAAUAUUUGGCUUUUCGUAGUAAUCACUUUGGCAACUUCUACCACAAUGCUCAUGGAAAUUACAACAAAUUACCCUCUGAUCUAGAGAGUAAUAUCAAAGAGUUCAUCAACUCGCAAAAGAUUUUCAAUGCGUUCAUAGAAUAAAAAAUACUCAAAAUUGAUGAUUUGGCUAGGAGCGUUGGUAGAAUGUCUAUUGAUAUUGAUGCUUUAAAAGUUAGAUGUGCUCCUCCCAAGAUCAAUAUGGAUUAAACUUUGAAAGCUAUGCGUGUUUCCAUGAAUAAUAGAAAAGAAAGAACCGCCCAAAUUAGUGCUAGACAUGAAUGGCUUAAAAAGGCGUGUUCUCGUGAUGAGAGUCACGAAGAUCUUAAAGUGCUUGGUGUGACUCCCAUUGAAUCCUUGUUUUCUAGUGUCAGACCUAAUAAUGAUGGGGCUGGAUAUGAAUCCACCUUGGUUGAAAAAUGCCCCAAUGAUUCGGAGUCUAUCUAUCUUGAUGCUAAAAGCAUUGAAAAUGGAGUAGAGGAUAUCAAAACUUUGAGUAGUAAUGAAACUACUACUUUGGAUUUCAAGGAAUUCAAUUAUGAUAGUUUCUCUUUGAUUGAUUGUAUUUCCUUGAUGCAAUCCAUGCUAAACUCUCCACACGCUUAUAGCCAAAACAAAGCCUUUACCGAUCAUAUGGUCGAUGCUAUGAUAAAAUCCCUUGAAGAGAAACUUGAGUUGGUAGUUUCUAUUCCUAGAAAGCUUCAUGAUGAGUGGGAACCUACUAUCAAAAUCAAAAUCAAAAACUAUGAAUGCAAUGCUUCGUGUGAUUUGGGUGCUAGUGUUUCCGCGAUUCCAAAGUCUUUAUGUGAUGUUCUAGACUUUAAUGAGAUUGAGGAGUGCUCUCUUAAUUUGCAUCUUGCGGAUUCUACUAUUAAGAAACGCAUGGGAAGGAUCAAUGAUGUUCUUAUUAUUGCAAAUAGGAACUAUGUACCCGUGGAUUUCAUUAUGCUUGUAUUGAUUGCAAUCCUACAUGUCCUAUCAUUCUUGGUAGACCUUUCUUAAGGACUAUUGGUGCUAUCAUCGAUAUGAAGGAAGGGAAUAUUAGAUUUCAAUUUCCUUUAAAGAAGGGCAUGGAGCAUUUUCCUAGAGAGAAAAUGAGAUUGUCUUAUGAAUCCAUGAUGAGGGCUACUUAUGGUUUGAGCACCAAAGACGACGAUACGUGAUUCUAUCACCUGAUGCCUAGCUAAGGGCUUUAAACAAUAGCGCUUGUUGGGAGGCAACCCAAUGAAUUUAUCUUUAAUUUUUGCUUUCUAUUUUGUUGCGUCCAAACCAUCAUAAUUCUGUUAUGAUUGUGUAUUUUGUGUUUCUUUUUGUGUUUGAGCCAAGUAAAACCUUUAUGACUAGUUUGGUGAUGGUUGUUUGAUCCUGCUGGAAAAAGACAGAAACUUUUCGCUCACGAAAUUAUUUUUCAUUUUUAUCCAUAAAGGGAUUUUGGGUUGAUUCUUUUUGCUUCUGGUUGAUAUGCCAAUUAUCCAAACUGUCGUAAUUUUUCAGAAUUUUUGAGAUAACAGAAAUAUACGAAGUAUACAGAUUACUACAAACUGGUCUGUUUUUGACAGAUUCCGUUUUUGUUGUGUUGGUUGCUUGCUUUAAUGAAACUAUGGAUAGUAUCGGGGGAUACUAGCCAUGAAAAAGUGAGAAUAAAGUAAUAUAACACCAAUAUAAAUAGAAAUCAAGUUUUCUACAGUACCUCAAGAGGUGGUAGUUUGUUUUCUUGUGCUAAUGAUAUCACGAGUUUCUGUUUAAGUUUUGUGUUGUGAAGUUUUCAAGUUCUGGGUGAUGUUCUCAUGGACAAAGGGAUAAAGAGUGGAAAGAUCUCAAGCUUGGGGAUUCCCAAGGCACCCCAAGCCAAAUUCAAGGACACCAAAAAGCGUAAGCUUGGGGAUGCCCCGGGAAGGCAUCCCCUCUUUCGUCUUCAAUCCAUCGGUAACAUUACUUGGAGCUAUAUUUUUAUUCACCACAUGAUAUGUGUUUUUCUUGGAGCGUCUUGUAUCGUAGGAGUAUUUUAUUUUUGUUGUGUCACAAUCAUCCUUGCUGCACACCUUUUGAGAGAUACAUGCAGUCAUCGUGAUUUUGCUAGAAUACUCUUUAAGCUUCGCUUAUAUCUUUUGAGUUAGGCAAUUUAGCUCACAUAUGCUUCACUUAGAUGUUUUAGAGCACGGCGGUGUCAUAUUUUGGAGAAAUAAGAACUCUCGAUCUUCACUUAUAUAUUUUUGAGAGUGAUCUCUCUGAGUAACUUGGUAGUUGGCUUGUGCUAUGAAAGUAGUCCCAAAGGUGAUAGGAAUCCAAAAAGGAUACAAUGAAACUUCCAUCUUCUUGUGCAUUGAUUAGAAAGAGAGUUUGAUUCCUCUCAGUUAGUUUUGAGAUAUGGAUUUGGUGAUACUAAGAGUUAUGUUAGUAGGGUGUUGUGAAUCUAGAAAUACUAGUGUUGAAGUUAGUGAUUCCUGUAACAUGCAUGUAUGGUGAACCACUAUGUUAGGAAGUCGGAGCAUAAUUGAUCUAUUUAUUGUCAUCCUUUGUGUUGCGGUCGGGAUCGCGCGAUGGUUAACACCUACCAACACUUCCCCUAGUAGUAUGCGUUUAGCACUUUGUUUCGAUUACUAAUAAAAACAUCCGCAAUCAGUAUGUGAGUUCUUCAUGACUAAUGUGAGUCCAUGGUAUAGAUGCACUUUCACCUUCCACCAUUGCUAGCCUCUUUAGUGCCACGCAACUUUCGCCGGUGCACAAACCACCAUAUGCCUUCCUCAAAACAGACACCAUACCUACCUACUAUGGCAUAUUCAUAGUCAUUCCGAGAUAUAUUGCCAUGCAACUCCCACCGUUCCGUCUCAUGAAUUGUGCCGUCACUUUCAUAUUGCCAUUGCAUGAUCGUAAGAUAGAUAGCGAGUCAUACACCAAGCUAGAUCAUUGCACAUCCCGGUACAUUGUCGGAGGCAUUUCCUAUAAGAGUCAUCAUUGUUCUAAGCAUUGACCUUUGAGUAAAUUAAAGUGUGAUGAUCAUCAUUAUUGGAGCAUUGUCCCAUGUGAGGAAAUAAAAGAUGCCAAAGAAGCCCAUAAAAAAAGAGGCCAAAGAGCCCAAAAAAAGAGAAGAGAGGAAAAGAGAGAAGGGACAAUGCUACUAUCUUUUUCCACACUUGUGCUUCAUAACAGCACCAUGUUCUUCAUGAUUUAGAGUCUCUUGAUUUCUCACCACCAUAUGCUAGUGGGAAUCUUCGUUAUAUAACUUGGCUUGUAUAUUCCAGUGAUGGGCUUCCUCAAAAUUGCCUUAGGUCUUCGUGAGCAAUCAAGUUGUAUGCACACCCGCUAGUUCUUCUUUUGAGCUUUCACAUACUUAUAGCUCUAAGUGCAUCCAUUGCAUGGUAAUCCCUACUCUUUCGCAUUGAUAUCUAUUAAUGGGCAUCUCCAUAGCCCUUUGAUAUGCUGAGUCAAUGUGACCAUCUCCUCCUUUUUGUCUCGCAACCUCCACCACACUCUAUUCCACCUAUAGUGCUAUAUCCAUGGCUCACGCUAAUGUAUUGCGUGAAAGUUGAAAAAGGUUUGAGAAAGUAAGAGUGCGAAAACAAUUACUUGGUCAAUACCGGGAUUGUGCAUGAUUUACAUUAGUUGUGUGGGGAUGAUGGAGCAUAGCCAAACUAUAUGAUUUUGUAGGGAUAACUUUCUUUGGCCUUAUUAUUUUGAAAGUUCAUGAUUACCUUGCUAGUUUGCUUGAAGUAUUAUUGUUUUCAUGUCAAUAGCAAACUAUUGUUUUGAAUCUUACGGAUCUGAACAUUCAUGUCACAUGAAAGAAGUUACAAAGGACAAACAUGCUAGGUAGCAUUCCACAUCAAAAAUUCAGUCUUUAUCACUUCCCUACUCGAGGACGAGCAGGAGUUAAGCUUGGGGAUACUUGAUACGUCUCCAACGUAUCUAUAAUUUUUUAUGGUUCCAUGCUAUUAUCUUGUCAAACUUUGGAUGUUUUGUAUGCCUUUUAUAUCUUUUUUGGGACUAACUUAUUAACUCAGUGCCAAGUGCUAGUUCCUGUUUUUUCCGUGUUUUUGACCCUUUUCAGAGGAGAAUAUUAAACGCAGUGCAAACGGAAUAAAACUUCCGAAAAGAUUUUUUCUGGAACAGAAGAUACGCAUGGGGCGUGAGAACCAAGGCAGAGGCCACCAGGGGAGGCCACAAGCCCCCUAGGCGCGUCCAACGGGUCCCGCGCCUAGCACGCUUGUGGGCCCCUUGUGGCUCGCCUGCCCUACCUCUUCUGCCUAUAAAUUCCCGAAAAAUCCAAACUACGCGAGAGAUCCACGAAAAUAUUUUUCCGCCGCCGCAAGCUUAUAUCUCCGCAAGAUCCCAUCUGGGGCAUGUUCUGGUGCCCUGUCGGAGGGGGAUUCGGAUACGGAGAGCUUCUUUAUCAACACCAUUGCCUCUCCGAUGAUGCGUGAGUAGUUCACCAUAGACCUUCGGGUCCAUAGCUAGUAGCUAGAUGGCUUCUUCUCUCUCUUGGAUCUUCAAUACAAAGUUCUCCAUGAUCUUCAUGCAGAUCUAUCGAUCUUCUUUUGUGGUGUGUUUGUCGAAAUCCGAUGAAUUGUGGAUUUAUAAUCAGAUUAUCCAUGAAUCUUAUUUGAAUUUCUGCUGAUCUCUUAUAUGCAUGAUUUCAUAUCCUUGUAAUUCUCUUCGAGUUGUGGGUUUUAUUUGGCCAACUUGAUCUAUGAUUCUUGCAAUGGGAGAAGUGCUUGGUUUUGGGUUCAUACCGUGCGGUGACCUCACCCAAUGACAGAAGGGGUAGCGAGGCACACAUCGUGUUGUUGCCAUCAAGGAUAAAAAGAUGGGGUUUAUAUCUAUUGCAUGAAUUUAUCCCUCUACAUCAUGUCAUCUUGCUUAAGGCGUUACUCUGUUCGUCAUGAACUCAAUAUACUAGAUGCAUGCUGGAUAGCGGUCGAUGUGUGGAGUAAUAGUAGUAGAUGCAGAACGUAUCAGUCUACUUGUCUCGGACGUGAUGCCUAUAUGUAUGAUCAUUGCCUUAGAUAUCUUCAUGACUUUGUGCGGUUCUAUCAAUUGCUCGACAGUAAUUUGUUCACCCACCGUAAUAUCUGCUAUUUUGAGAGAAGCCUCUAGUGAACACUAUGGCUCCCGGGUCUACUUCACAUCGUAUUUUCAGCCUUACACUUUUACUUUGUUGCAGUUUCCGCCUUCAGAUCUCACUUUGCAAUCAAUCUUGAAGGGAUUGACAACCCCUUUAUAGUGUUGGGUGCAAGCUCGUUUGUGUUUGCGCAGGUACUCUGGACACUUGGCUUGAUUCUCCUACUGGAUUGAUACCUUGGUUCUCAAACUGAGGGAAAUACUUAUUGCUACUGUGCUGCAUCACCCUUUCCUCUUCAAGGGAAAAACCAAGGCAAGAUCAAGAGUUAGCAGACGGUAAUGUGACCGUUUAUAAAGCUCAACUUGUGGCAAAGGGUUUUUCACAAGUUCAAGGAGUUGACUACGAUGAGACAUUCUCAUCGGUAGCGAUGCUUAAGUCCGUCUGAAUCAUGUCUGUUGGGGAACGUCGCAUGGGAAACAAAAAAUUUCCUACGCGCACGAAGACCUACCAUGGUGAUGUNNNNNNNNNNNNNNNNNNNNNNNNNNNNNNNNNNNNNNNNNNNNNNNNNNNNNNNNNNNNNNNNNNNNNNNNNNNNNNNNNNNNNNNNNNNNNNNNNNNNCACUGGUGGCAGGGCGCGGUGGACGCCAUGCUCAAGGUGCGGGAGUGGUCGGAGCUGGCGGCGGGGCCGCGCUGGAAGACCUUCAUCCGGCGCUUCGGCCGCGGGCCCGGCCCGCGCCCGCACCACGCCUUCGGCGGCCGCAAGCUCAACUACGACGCGCUCAGCUACGCGCUCAACUUCGACGAGGGCCACGGCGCCACCCCCGACCCCGGCGACCACGCCGGCGGCUACCGCGACUUCUCCUCCCGCUUCGCCGCCCCGCCCUCCUCCGCCAAGUCCUCCAUGGACCUCGGCGGCCGCGACGCGCCGCCGCUCUUCCGCCCGCCUCCCGCCGACGCCUGACCGCUCCUCCGCCCCCCUUCCUCCCCGAUCGCGCCACAGGAAAAGGAAAGGUAUAAUCGCUCGACGACGAUGGUGGUCAAACUCUCAAAGCGUGGCAAAAAGAUGGCGGCCUUUUCUCGGAUGGUUCGGUUCCAUGGGGACUGGAUGGAUGGGGAUUCGUUUCUUUCUUCUUUCUUCCAGUUCUUUCUCCCCCUCCCCCUGCUCCCAUGAUUGAUUGAUGAUGUUCCCCCCACUGUACAAAGAAAAACAANNNNN
rnacentral:lncRNA from 1 species